ACCAUACAAGGAUACUGGCAAGCUUCCUCGAAUGUGGACUUUGCUUUCCACAUUGAUGGUCCUGAUGCACCUUGGAGCCACCAUUGCAAAUCACCAACCAAUGAACCAACAUGACCUCAUCGCUAACCCAAGCCACGGAUAUAAGAGGCAACAAGUUAGAGCCAACAGUGGACACCGGACAGGCACAGAAAACAUGCAAACCAUCGACCGAUCAAAGAAACACGAAACGAACCCAAAACUAACACGCACCUUUCCGGCGUCUUGCCAUCUCAAAGGAAUUGUGCGCUUAUUUUUCCAGGUAUUGAGGUCUAAUGAGGACGUUGCACGUCAUUGGCACCCGUUGCCUUUGUUCGGAUGCUGAGAGCAUCUCUAGCCACGUCUCCAGAACAGUCUCUUCAUGCGAUUUUUUCGUGCCGGCGCCGAAAAAACGGUCUAGUCGCAUCUCAGGAGCCCGUUUUUCGCCGGCUUGGGCCGAAAUCAACGCCGACGGAUCCAGACCGAACCUGGCACGCUGGGAGGCGCUUGGGGGCCGGUCGAAACGUUUUUGGCGCGAAAACCGGCGGGCCCUCCUUGGCAACGACUCGGCUCUUCUCGCCGCUUCGUCGUCCUCAUCGCCUCAGUUCCCGCGGCGAAUCAAUGCCAAAUUUGUCGCGCGCGCCGCGCCGGUCAGCCUCCUCCAUUGAUGCCUCACGGGCGGCGCAGUGAAGACCGGACGGCGCGCGUCCCUCGCCCGCCACGCGUACACACGACGGCCACGCGUACGCGUGAUGACCCACAAGUGUAGGGGAUCUAUCGUAGUCCUUUCGAUAAGUAAGAGUGUCGAAUCCAACGAGGAGCAGAAGAAAAUGAUAAGCAGUUUUCAGUAAGGUUUUCUGCAAGCACUGAAAUUAUAGGUGAUAGAUAGUUUUGAGAUAAGAUAAAUAGUAACGAGUAAUAAGUAAACAAGUAAAUAAGGUGCGGCAAGGUGGCCCAAUCCUUUAUGUAGCAAAGGAUAAGUCUAGACAAUUUCUAAUAAUAAUAAAGGGGCUCCCGAGGACACAUUGGAAAUUAUCGUCAAGCUAGUUUUUAUCAGCUCAUAUGAUUCGCGUUCAGUACUUUGAUAAUUUGAUAUGUGGGUGGACCGGUGCUUGGGUACUACCCUUACUUGGACAAGCAUCCCACUUAUGAUUAACCCCUAUUGCAAGCAUCCGCAACUACAACAAAAGUAUUAAGGUAAACCUAACCAUAUCAUGAAACAUGUGGAUCCAAAUCAGCCCCUAACGAAGCAACGCAUAAACUAGGGUUUAACCUUCUGUCACUCUAGCAACCCAUCAUCUACUUAUUACUUCCCUAUGCCCUCCUCUAGGCCCAAUAAUGAUGAAGUGUCAUGUAGUCGAUGUUCACAUGACACCACUAGAGGAGAAGACAACAUACAUUUCAUCAAAAUAUCGAACGAAUACCAAAUUCACAUGACUACUAAUAGCAAGACUUCACCCAUGUCCUCAGAAACUAAAGUAACUACUCACAAAGCAUAUUUAUGUUCAUAAUCAGAGGUGUAAAAAUAUGCAUUAAGGAUCUGAACAUAUGAUCUUCCACCAAGUAAACCAAUAAGUAUCAACUACAAGGAGUAAUCAACACUACUAGCAACCCACAGGUACCAAUUUAUGGUUUUGGAUACAAGAUUGGAUACAAGAGAUGAACUAGGGUUUGAGAGGAGAUGGUGCUAGUGAAGAUGUUGAUGGAGAUUGACCCCCUCCGGAUGAGAGGAUCAUUGGUGAUAACGUUGUUGAUGAUUUCCCCCUCCCGGAGGGAAGUGUCCCCGGCAGAACAGCUCUGCCAGAGCCCUAGAUUGGUUCCGCCUCGUGGCGGCGGAGUUUCGUCCCAUAAGCUUGCCCCCGAUUUUUUCCAGGGUAAAAGUGAUGAUAUAGCAAAAGAUGGACGCCAGAGGCCCACCAGGGGGCCCAGGAGAUAGGGGGCGCGCCCUAUAGGGGGGGCUCCCCCCUGUCUCCUGGACAGGGUGUGGGCCCCCUGGCCUAUUUCUUUCGCUCAGAAAUUCUUAUAAAUUCCAAAAAGUUGUUUCGUGGAGUUUCAGGACUUUUGGAGUUGUGCAGAAUAAGUUUCCAACAUUUGCUCCUUUUCCAGCCAGAAUUUCAGCUGCCAGCAUCCCCCCUCUUCAUGGUAAACGUUGUGAAAUAAGAGAGAAUAGCCAUAAGUAUUGAGAUAUAAUGUGUAAUAACAGCCCGUAAUGCAAUAAAUAUUGAUAUAAAAGAUGAUGCAAAAUGGACGUAUCAACUCCCCCAAGCUUAAACCUCGCCUGUCCUCAAGCGGAAGCCGAUAUCGAAAAAUAUGUCCACAUGUUUAGAGAUAGAGGUGUUGAUAAAAAUAAAAUACGGACAUGAGGGCAUCAUGAUCAUUCUUAUAAUAGCAACAUAUAAAGAUUCCAUAAUAUAAUUUCUUAUACUCAAGUAACAAUCAAUUCACAAUAUCAAGUAUGGUUUACGAACUUCAUUAAGAACUAACAAACUAUAAUCUCAGUCAUUGAAGCAAUCACAAUUUAUCAUAACAUCAGAAAGAGUCAACAAUAGAGCUUUGCAGCAAGUCCACAUACUCAACUAUCAUAUAAUCUUCUACAAUUGCUAACACUCACGCAAUACUUGUGGUUAUGGAGUUUCAGACGGACACUGAGAAAGAUAGGGGUUUAUUGUGUUGCCUCCCAACGUAUUCACCUUUAGAUGAUGUCAACAAUAAUAGCCCAUGCUAACGAACAUCCAAUUGGAUAUGUAUAUCACGAUCUUUCAAACACGAAGAGCUUGCCAAAGGAUAAAAUGAAAAAGGGAAAGGUGAAGAUCACCUUGACUCAAGCGCAAAAUAAAAGCAUAAAGUAAGAACAUGAAGUAAAAGAUAGGCCCUUCGCAGAGGGAAGCAGAGGUUGUCAUGCGCUUUUAGGGUUGAUGCAUAAAAUCUUAAUGCAAAAGAACGUCACUUUAUAUUGCCCCUUGUAUGUGGACCUUUAUUAUGCAGUCCGUCGCUUUUAUUACUUCCACAACAAGUUCGUACAAAGCUUAUUUUUUCCGCACUAAUAAGUCACGCAUAAUUAGAGAGCAAUUUUUAUUGCUUGCACCGAUGACAACUUACUUGAAGGAUAUUACUCAAUCCAUAGGUAGAUAUGGUGGACUCUCAUGGCAAGACUGGAUUUAAGGGUAUUUGGAAGCACAAGUAGUAUCUCUACUUGGUGCUGGGAAUUUGGCAGCAUGAGGGGGAAAGGCAAGCUCAACAUGUUCGGAAGGUCAAUGACAACAUACUUUAACUGAGAUGUGAGAAAACAUAAACUAUUACGUUGUCUUCCUUGUCCAUCGUCAACUCUUUUAGCAUGUCAUACUUAAUGAGUUCUCACAAUCAUAAAAGAUGUCCAAGAUAGUGUAUUUAUAUGUGAACCUCUCUUCCCUUAUUACUUCCUAUUAAUUGCAACGAUGACCAAAACUACGUUCAUCAACUCUCAACAACCUUUAUGCCUCAUACUUUCUAUGUGUGAAGUUAUUACUAUCCGUAAGAUCAAUAUGAACUAUUUUAUUCUUUUUAUUCUUUCUAUUAUUCUCAAGAUCAUAGCAGCAAAGCAAAGCCCUUGACUUUAACACUAAUCUUUAUUAUAGAUAACUCACGGAUUUGAUUACACAAAGAGAGCACUAAGCAAAACCUCAAAAAUACUUGAUAUCAAAACUUCAAUCUACGGGAGCAAGAUACUACUAAAAGGAUCGAACUAAAUAAAACAGUAAAGAUAGGAGUGAUGGUAAUACGAUAUCGGGGCACCUCCCCCAAGCUUGGCAGUUGCCAAGGGGGAGUGCCCAUACCCAUGUGAUUAUGUCCUUGGAGGUGAUGAUGAUGGUGGUGGAUAAUCACACAUUGAGCGUAAAAGCUCCUCCAACUUGUGGAUAAUUCCCUUUAGCCCAGCAAUAUGACCCUUCAACAAAAUAUUCUACUGUGUGAGAUACUUGUUCUCUAUGUGAGCUAACUCAAUCAUCUUGAAAGCUUCGAUCUCUGUUGGAGUAAAGAGGUUAGGUAAAGGUUGAGGGAUAUCUUCUUCUUUCACCGCCGGAGCUUGAACCUCCAUGGCUUCCUUGAUCCCUUCAUCCUUGUUGAUCUCUUCUGGUUCUUCUCUUUUCAGCUCUAUCUUCAAAAGCCAAGCAUCCUUGUCUUCAUUGUUGGAGGAGGGUGAAGUCAUGGUGCUCUAAAUCUGCAACGGAGACAACUCGAAACGAAAACAGAGGAUAUUUGCGUGAUACAGUGGUCAAAACCUUCGGGAGUAUAUAUAAUGAAUUUUUACCGACCAAAAUACGUAACGUGCAAGAAAACGGAGUCCGAGAGGCACACGAGGUGCCCACGAGACAGGGGGGCGCGCCCUACAGGGGGGCGCGCCCUCCACUCUCGUGGGAGCCUCAUGUCCCUUUCGGACUACUUCUUUCUUCCUAAAAUUCUUAAAUAUUCCAAAACUGAUAAAAAUUGCCAUUGGAGUUGUUUUGGAGUCGGUUCACUUACCGUACCACAUACCUAUGCCUUUUCGGAGUCUGGAACAUUCUGGAAAGUGUCCCUUAUGUAUUCCUCAGGGGUUACAGUUUCAAUAAUAUUAGUUUCAACAUUGAUAGGAUUACCUGAAAUAUAAUGUUUAAUUCUUUGACCGUUUACCAACCUCGGACUUGUGCCUUCGAAGUUGUUGAUCUUUAUGGCACCAGAACGAUAGACCUCCUCGAUGACGUAGGGGCCUUCCCAUUUUGAGAGAAGCUUUCCUGCAAAAAAAUUUAAAUGAGAGUUGAAUAAUAACACAUAAUCUCCUACGUUAAACUCACGCUUUUGUAUCCUCUUAUCAUGCGAGCGUUUGACUUUUUCUUUGAAUAGCUUGGCAUUCUCAUAAGCUUGGGUUCUCCACUCAUUGAGUGAGCUAAUAUCAAAUAACCUCUUCUCAUCGGCAAGCUUGAAGUCAUAAUUGAGCUCUUUAAUAGCCCAAUAUGCUCUAUGUUCAAGUUCAAGAGGCAAAUGACAUGCUUUUCCAUAAACCAUCUUAUACGGAGACAUACCCAUAGGAUUUUUGUAUGCAGUUCUAUAGGCCCAUAAUGCAUCAUCAAGUUUUUUGGACCAAUUCUUUCUAGAUCUAUUCACAGUAUUUUGCAAAAUUAAUUUGAGCUCUCUGUUGCUCAACUCUACUUGACCACUAGAUUGUGGAUGAUAAGGAGAUGCGAUUCUAUGAUUGACAUCAUACUUAGCAAGCAUCUUACGGAAAGCACCAUGAAUAAAAUGUGAACCACCAUCAGUCAUAAGAUAUCUAGGGACUCCAAACCUCGGAAAAAUAACUUCUUUAAGCAUUUUAAUAGAAGUGUUAUGAUCAACACUACUAGUUGGAAUAGCUUCUACCCACUUAGUAACAUAAUCAACAGCAACUAAAAUAUGUGUAUAACCGUUAGCGGCAGGAAAAGGUCCCAUAUAAUCAAAGCCCCAAACAUCAAAUGGUUCAAUAACAAGAGAAUAAUUCAUAGGUAUUUCUUGACGUCUACUAAUGUUACCUAUUCUUUGACAUUCAUCACAAGAUAAGACAAACUUACGAGCAUCUUUGAAGAGAGUAGGCCAAUAAAAACCAGAUUGUAGUACCUUGUGUGCAGUUCUAUCUCCAGUGUGGUGUCCUCCAUAAGAUUCAGAGUGACACUUACGUAGAAUCUAUUCCUGUUCAUGCUCAGGCACACAACGUCUAAUAACACCAUCUACUCCUUCUUUAUAAAGGUGUGGAUCAUCCUAGAAGUAGUGUCUUAAAUCAUAAAAGAACUUUUUCUUUUGCUGGUAUGUGAAACUAGGAGGUAAAUAUUUAGCAACAAUGUAAUUAGCAUAAUCAGCAUACCAAGGAGCAGUACGAGAAGCAUUGACGAUUGCUAAUUGUUCAUCAGGAAAGCUAUCAUUAAUAGGCAGCGGGUCAUCAAGAACAUUCUCUAACCUAGACAAGUUAUCUGCAACAGGGUUCUCAGCUCCCUUUCUAUCAAUAAUAUGCAAGUCAAAUUCUUGGAGCAAGAGAACCCAUCUAAUGAGUCUAGGCUUAGCAUCUUUCUUUUCCAUAAGAUAUUUAAUAGCAGCAUGAUUAGUGUGAAUAGUAACUUUGGAAUCAACAAUAUAAGGUCUAAACUGCUAAGAACUCUGUUUCAAUAGUAGCAUAAUUUCUCUGGGCAGUAUCAAGAGUCUUACUAGCAUACUGGAUAACAUUCAAUUUCUUGUCAACUCUUUGCCCUAAAACAGCACCUACAGCAUAAUCACUAGCAUCACACAUAAUUUCAAAAGGUAAAUUCCAAUCAGGAGGCUGAACAAUAGGUGCAGUGAUCAAAGCUUUUACACAAUCAUCAUCAAAGACAAAAGGAAUAUCUUUUUGCAAUAAAUUAGUCAGAGGCCUAGAGAUUUUAGAAAAGUCCUUAAUGAACCUCCUAUAAAAACCGGCAUGACCAAGGAAACUUCUUAUACCUUUGAUGUCCUUGGGACAUGGCAUCUUUUCAAUAGCAUCAACUUUGGCUUUAUCAACUUCAAUACCUCUCUCGGAGAUCUUGUGCCCCAAUACAAUACCUUCAUUAACCAUAAAGUGACACUUUUCCCAAUUCAGGACGAGACUAGUGUCUUCGCAUCUCUGCAAAACUCGAUCAAGGUUGCUCAAACAAUCAUGAAAAGAUGAUCCAUAGAUGGAGAAGUCAUCCAUGAAUGCCUCACAAAUCUUUUCACAAAAAUCAGAGAAUAUAGCCAUCAUGCAUCUUUGAAAGGUAGCAGGUGCAUUACAUAAACCAAAAGGCAUGCGUCUAUAAGCAAAAGUACCAAAAGGGCAAGUAAAAGUAGUUUUAGAUUGAUCCUUCGCUGACACAGGUAUCUGAGAGAAACCAUAAUAACCAUCUACAAAGCAAAAAUGUGUGUGUUUGGAUAGCAUUUCUAGCAUUUGAUCAAUGAAAGGUAAAGGGUAAUGAUCUUUCUUGGUAGCUUUAUUUAACUUACGGAAAUCAAUUACCAUCCUAUAACAUGUAAUAAUUCUUUGCGGGAUCAAUUCAUCUCUAUCAUUAGGAACAACGAUAGUACCUCCCUUUUUAGGGACACAAUGGACAGGGCAUACCCAUUCACUAUCAGCAAUGGGAUAAAUAAUACCUGCCUCAAGGAGCUUUAGUAUCUCCUUUCUUACCACUUCCUUCAUCUUGGGGUUUAAUCGUCUUUGAGGAUCCCUAACUGGUUUGGCAUCUUCCUCCAAUGUAAUUUUGUGUUGACAUAACAUGGGACUAACGCCCGUAAGAUCAUCUAGAGUAUAUCCAAUAGCUGCUCGGUGCUUCUUCAGAGUUUUCAAUAAUUUUUCUUCUUCUUUCUCUGAAAGGUUAGCACUAAUAAUAACAGGAUAUAUUUCUUUUUCAUCAAGAUAAGCAUACUUAAGAUUAUCAGGUAGUGGUUUGAGUUCAAAUAGAGGAUCACCCUUGGGUGGAGGGGGAUCCCCAAGAAUUUCAACGGGAAGGUUAUGUUUCAGCAUAGGUUCCUGUUUAAGGAAAACUUCAUCUAUUUCUUCCCUUUCCUUCAUAAACAUAUAGUUUUCAUGGUCUAGUAAAUAUUUUUCUAAUGGAUCAGUUGGAGAAACAACAAUGGAAGCAAGACCAAUAAUCUCAUCAUUACUAGGUGGUUCCCUUUCACGAGGUUGUCUACUAAACUUAGCAAAAUUAAACUCAUGAGACAUACCAUCUAUGCCAACAGUGACAAUAUUCCUUUCACAAUUAAUCUUAGCACUAGCAGUAUUCAAGAAGGGUCUACCAAAAAUAAUUGGGCAAAAGGCAUCUUGUGGGGAAGCAAGAACAAGAAAAUCAGCAGGAUAUUUAACAUUCCCACACAAAACUUCAACAUCUCUAACAAUCCCAACAGGUUUAAUGGUAUCCCUAUUAGCAAGCUUAAUAGUAACAUCAAUAUCUUCUAAUUCAACAGGUGCAAUGUCGUGCAUAAUUUCUUUAUAUAGAUCAUAAGGUAUCACACUAGCACUAGCACCCAUAUCACAUAAGCCAUGAUAACAAUGAUCUCCUAUUUUAACAGAAAUAACAGGCGUGCCUACGAUAGGUCUAUGUGUCUUAGUAUCAAGUCUAGCAAUAUUAGCAGUCUCACCACAGAAAGAAAUAACAUGCCCAUCUAAGUCCUCAUCCAAGAGAGCUUUAACCAUAGCAAUACUAGGUUCAACAUUAAUUUGCUCAGGAGGUGUAUAAGUCCUAGUAUUACUCUUAUGAACAACAGUCAAAGCUUUAGCAUGAUCCUUUAUCCUAACAGGGAAAGGAGGUUUUUCAACAUCAGCAGUAGGAACAAUAGGAUCACUAUAGGUAAUAGUCUUUUCUUUAACUGUAAUAGGUGCAACUACUUUAACUUCAACAGGAGGAUUAUAUUUAAACCACUUCUCUUUAGGGAGAUCAACGUGAGUAGCGAAAGAUUCACAAAAAGUAGCUACUAUCUCAGAGUCAAGUCCAUACUUAGUGCUAAAUCCACGAAAAACAUCGGUAUCCAUAAAAGAUUUAACACAAUCGAACUUAUUUGUCAUACCUGACUCCUUACCAUCGCCGGAACCCCAAUCUUCAGAGUUGCGUUUAAUUCUUUCCAAUAAGUCCCAUUUGAAAUCAAUAGUCUUCAGCAUAUAAGAACCAGCACAGGAAGUAUCGAGCAGGUUGCGAUUAUGAAGAGAAAGCCGAGCAUAAAAUUUUUGAAUAAUCAUUUCCCAAGAGAGCUCAUGAUUGGGGCAUGAAUAUAACAUUGACUUAAGCCUCCCCCAAGCUUGAGAGAUGCUUUCUCCUUCGCAAGGCCAGAAAUUAUAUAUGUAAUUACGAUCACGAUGGACAAGAUGCAUAGGAUAGAACUUCUGGUGAAAUUCCAACUUCAAUCUCUUAUAAUUCCAAGAUCUCGUAUCAUCACAUAGCCUAUACCAUGUCAAUGCAUAUUCCUUCAAAGAUAAAGGGAAUACCUUCCUUUUGACAACAUCAUCCGGAAUACCUGCAAGCUUAAAUAAUCCACAAACUUCAUCCACAAAGAUAAGGUGUAAAUCGGGAUGCAAUGUUCCAUCUCCUGCAAAUGUUCUAUCAUACCCGAAGGAAUCUCAAAGUAAAUAUUUUCAUAAAGUUCAGUAGGUUGAGGAGAAACUCUUUGCUCUUUUGGUCGGGGUGAAGAUACCCCAAACAAGCCCCUCAAAGGAUUAGUUUCCAUAGUGACAAGUAACAGAAAAUUUCAGCACACUAAAUAAAUGUUUCAUUACCAAGUUCUACUCACCAAAAGCGCUACACUCCCCGGCAACGGCGCCAGAAAAGAGUCUUGAUGACCCACAAGUGUAGGGGAUCUAUCAUAGUCCUUUCGAUAAGUAAGAGUGUCGAACCCAACGAGGAGCAGAAGGAAAUGAUAAGCGGUUUUUAGUAAGGUUUUCUACAAGCACUGAACACUACAAAAAAAGACACAUCCGUGACAUUUUGGGCCGAACGAAAUUUUUUUCUAUCAUACAUAUGACACUUCUAUGACGAUAAUUGUGACAAAACCCGGUAUCAUCAUAGAUGUGGUGGGCUCCUACUUCUAUGACAAAAAAUCAGGACAGAAAAUGGGCUUUUCGUCCUGGGCGGGCCGGAGACGCAGCUGCAUGACAUUCUUUGGGCCGUCCAUGAUGGAAAAAAACCAUGGUAGAAGCGAGGGGGAGGAAAAUUUCGGGGAGUUCCCGGUUACGGUGGGAGGUCGGGGGCUGAGCGAUGCGCGUUUCUCUCGUACACGUAUGCGCGUGUGUGCGAGGCGUUGGCUCUAACUGAGCCUGAGCGAGGCGUUGGGCUCCAACUGAACCCGAGCGAUUGCACUGCAGGCUACGCAUUACUAAACCCGAGCGAUCGAUCGAUGGCUGUUAACUGAAUCCGAUCGAGCGAUUCUUUCGCUACUUCUGCUAACUGAAGCCGAUCGAUUGGAUGAACAGUGAGCGUUACAGGGGGGUGGAUGAACAGUGAGCGGUGGCGUUGCCUCUGGAUGAAUAGGACCCCGUGGUGUGGCGGAGGGCUGGAUGAACAGUAGAUGGUGGAGGGGUGCCCAUGGAGGGGUGGUUGAACAAGACCCCAUGGUAUGGAGCGUUGGAUGAACAAUAGAUGGUGGAGGGGUGGAUGAACAGGACCCCGUGGUGUGGAGGGCUGGAUGAACAGUAGAUGGUGGAGGGGUGCCCGUGGAGGGGUGGUUGAACAGUAGCCGGUGGAGUAGCGCGCGGUGGAGGCUGGAUGAACAGGAGCCUGUGGAGGCUGGAGGAGGUCGACGGUAGCCCGUGGAGGCUGGAGGAGGUCGAAGGUGGAGAUGAACAGUAUCCCGUGGAGUCCCGUUUUGCGGUACGCCACACCCCUCCUGAUGAACAUGACCCCCGUUUUGACCGUAGCGCUCCAACACAAGUCCGUUUCGUCCAUUUUGCGGUACGCCACACCCCUCUCGAUCAACAGGACCCCCGUUUCGACCGUAGGAGGUCCGUUUCCUCCGUUUAGCAGUACGCCACACCCCUCCCGAUCAACAGGACCCCCGUUUCGACCGUAGGAGGUCCGUUUCCUCCAUUUUCUGGUACGCCACACCCCUCCUGGUGAACAGGAUCUCGUUUCGAACGUGGCCGGUCGAAUACAAGGCCGUUUCCUCCGUUCUGCGGUAUGCCAGGCCUCGUUUCCAUCGCUUGUUCCGUCCAAGCCCUCCCGAUGAACACGACGAUGCAUUCCGUUCCGACCCAGCCGGUUGGCUCCUCAUGAACACGACGACGAUGUUGUUUCUCCGUUCCGACCCAGCCAUGUACACGAGCCCUGGCCAUACGUAUGCGCAAGUAGGCGUUCGAGACCCCGCCCGUAUGUACACAUACGUGGCCAUAUUUUCUUUCUUGCACACUGGCCGCUGUAUGUACGUGUACAUGCUACAUGCGCGCCUCUACUAUGACACGUGCGCGCCUCUACAUCGACAAAUAUAUCUAUACGUACACGUCCGCGACCAGAAUGACAAUGCUACGUAUGCUUUGACCAGGUGGGUCCCGACUGUCAGGCACUUCCUUGCGUGCGAAGAUGUAGCUGGUGGGUCCCAGCCGUCAGGGGGAAAUGUUUUUUUCGUGAAAUACGGUGGUAUGUCCGGUGGGUCCUCGCUGUCAGGUGGAGGAAUAAUUAUUUUGCACGUAAUAAGGAGGCACUUCAUUGAUGCGGCCGUGGACCCAGCUGUCAGCCUCUCCAUGUACAGUCCACGUCCAAUGGAAGCCGUUCCUUGACCAUGUUGACCAUGCCGCGCCGAGAGCACCAGGGCGGUGGACGACGGCGAGGCCUAGGAAGGGGACGACGCAGAGCCGGGGAAGACGCGGCAGUGGAUGCCCAUGCAUAGAGGAGUAUGAGGGUUCACUGGUUCACUGCGGUGUGAGGCUGCCGUCGCCGCAGAAUAACAGGGGGUGUGGGUGAGUAGAGGGAUGGCCUGGCCAUCAGUGGGAGUAGUAGGCGGCGGUGAGGCCUCCGUCGCAUCGCAGCCGGCCACGGGAGGUAGGAGCACGAGGCACGACCGGCGCUGGUUUGGGCGGCUGGAGCAAGAAGACGAGAGGUUGAAGAAGCACUACGGCCGUUGGAUGGACAUCGUACGGUCACUGGAGCUAGAAUCGUGCAUAUUGACAAAGUUGACAAAGCUCUCCGUCCCCGUCAACUUAGUAGGCCCACCAGUCAGCUUGCCACUAUAGUGGGUCCCAACUAACAGGGGGAGUAUUCAUUUUUUUGUGCGUAAUAAGGAGGCACUUCCUUGCGUGCGAAGAUAUAGCUGGUGGGUCUGAGCUGUCAGCGGCGGUAACAUUUUUUUCACAAAAUACAGAGGCCCUUCCGGUGGGUCCCUGAUGUCAGGUGUAGGAAUCAUUAUUUUGCGCGUAAUAAGGAGGCAUUUCCUUGCGUGCGGCCGUGGACCCAGCUGUAGGCCUCUCCAUGUACAGUCCACUUCAGAUGCAUGUCUGUCGUUGGCCACGUUGACCAAGCCGCGCCGAGAGCACCAGGGCGGUGGACGACGGCGAGGCCUAGGAAGGGAACGACACGGAGGUAGGGAAGACUCGGCAGUUGUUUCCCACGCGGAGGGGAGUACGACUGUACGAGGGUUUACUGGUUCGUCUGCCGUCGCAGGAGAAUAACAGCAGGUGUAGGUGAGUAGAGGGAUGGCUAGGCCAGCGAUGGGAGUACGAUGGGGCGGUGAGGCCUGCGCGACAGCACAGUCAACCGCGAGGAGGAGGGAGCAGGCAGUCCCGCCGGCGCUUGUUUGAGCGGCUGGAGCAGGAAGAGCAGAGAUUGAAGAAGCACGAUGGCCAUUCGAUGGACAUCCAACAGUCAUUGCUUAUGCGUCAACCUUUUUUUAGGAAAGCCUCAAAUCUGUGGAAAACAGCAUACAACCCAUCUGCCAUUAUUUCUAAUAAUUUACAGCCCAUUUGCUAAUUCUUAAGGGUUUUUUUAGCCCAUAUUCUUUUUGUUAGCAUUACAGCCCAUAUUGUGGCCACGGUUAAAAAAUUAUACGAAAUUUUGCAUAUUUUGGUGCGGUCUGAACUGUUUUUAAUCCGGAAAUUUCGACUCACAUUCAAAUUGAUUUUAAAAAGAAAUGUAUAUCAAUAUAAAAUCCAACAAAUUCUCCAUGCAUAAAAAUUAAUAUAAUUUAAAAUCUCGAAAUGAAAAAAGAUAUUUGAAACUAAUUGCCGGUUUGAUGUGUUUUAAAAAUGUACAGCCCAUUUCUCAUUACUGAUAGGCCAUUUUCUCGGCCAGCCGAAUGAAGCUCUCCUUGUCUUGAAAGAUUAGCAGCCCAACAGGCUUGACAAAGCGACUUACUUGGUAAAUCACAAAAAAACUGGUCUGUGGCCGUGGACCCAGCUGUCAGCCUCUCCACGUAUAGUACUCUUUAGAUGGAAGUCGGUCGUUGACCACAUUGACCACGCCGCGCCGAGAGCACCAAGGAGGUGGACGACGGCGAGGCCUAGGAAGGGGACGACACGGAGCCGGGGAAGACGCGGCAGUGGAUGCCCACGCGGACAGGAGUACGAGGGUUCACUGGUUCGGCUGUGGUGUGAGGCUGUCGUCGCCGCAGUAUAACAGGGGGUGUGGGUGAGUAGAGGGAUACCCUGGGCCAGCAGUGGGAGUAGUAGGGGCGGUGAGGCCUCCGCAGCAUCACAGCAGGCCACGAGAGGCAGGAGCACACGGUACGAUGGGCGGCUGGAGCAAGAAGACCAGAGGUUGAAGAAGCACUAUGGCCGUUGGAUGGACAUUGUACGGUCACUGGAGCUAGAAUCGUUCAUAUUGACUAAGUUGACAAAGCCCUCCGUCCUCGUCAACUUAGUAGGCCCACAAGUCAGCCAGCCACUAUGGUGGGUCCUAGCUAGUAGGGGGUAUUCAUUUUUUGGUGCGUAAUAAGGAGGCACUUCCUUGCGUGCGCAGAUAUAGCUGGUGGGUCCGACCUGUCAGCGGGGAGAACGUUUUUUCGUGAAAUACAGAAGCCCUUCCCACGUACAGUGCAUGUACAGUGCGUAAUAAGGAGGAACUUUCCUUGCAUGCGACCAUGGACCUUGUGGGUCCCAGCCGUUAGGCUCUCCAUGUACAGUCCUCUUCCGAUGAGUCUCGUAUGUUGACCACGCCGCGCCGAGCGCACCGAGGCGAUGGGCGACGGCGAGGCCCCACACUGGAAUGACCCGGAGAUGGGGAAGACGCGGCAGUGGAGUCGCGGACGGAGAGGAGUGGGAAACUUGACUGGUUCGGGUGCGGGGUGGGCCUACACUCGGCAAAGAAUAACAGGAGGUGUGGAGUGGAGGGAUGGCCUGGCCGUCGGCGGGGUAGCGUUUCGCUGAGGAGCGCAAAACAACACCGCUGGACAUCGAAUACUGGAGCAGGCGGUUCCGGCAGCGCUGGGGGAAGAAGACGAGAGAUUGAAGAAGAAUGUCGGCCGUUGGAUGUAAAUCCAACGCCUUCUUAGGCUUCGACCUACUGGCCCACAUGUCAGCCAGUCCAUUUGUUUUUUUAGUCCAUUUGGUGGGCUGGGUGAAACAAUGAUGUAGCAUCUAUGCAGCCCGUUUAAAUCCUAUUUGCAUUUUUCUCGAAAUCUGCAGACUUGCUGGGCUGGGUGAAAAUAUGAUGUUGGGCUAGACGGAGAAAUGUUAUAAAAACAUAAACACAUGAUUACACGUCAGUAAAAUCUUUGCAAGCUUAUGUACGCAAUCACUAGGAGUUAACUUGUCAAGUUAUAUAUAAACAAUUAUUAUUAUUAUUUUGUAAGAACUUUCAACUUACAAAAUAAAAUAUCAUUUUAAUUUGAAUAGUUAAUAGUACGUGGGGUAUUAUUAUUUUUUAGGCUAGACAUGGGACAGUUGAGUUGGUUCUAGGGGAAAGUACUGGGAGAAAACUCCGUUUACAUCAAAAAAGAAAGUGGGAGAAAAUUCAGAGACCUGCUGGGUCCACCUGAGGAGGGGAAUAUGUUGGGAGGAAGGAGAUUCAACGCACGGCAGCCGAGUGAACUAGUUUUUUACGGACAAGUAAACUAGUUUACAUACAUAAGAAAGUAGCCACUAAAAAAGCAAUCAGGUUAAUGGGUUCUUAAAAGAAAUAUUUCAGACAAAACAGAUAAUUACGACACAUAGGCUAAUGCAUGAAACACUCAGAUGAUAAAGGUGCUUACAAACAGAUAAAGUACAACAUCUAGACCUUCCUGGCACGCUUGAUCACGACGAUGCGGCUGUCAGUGUACUCGUCGGUUACGGGAAGCAGACACGCCCUCAUGUCCAAGAUCUGCUUGUACAUGUCAUAGCAUGUGUAUGCGUCCUUGGCCGCGUAGGUUAUGUAGGCUAGAUUCAGAGGUACCUCCCACAUGUUCAGGUCGUCUUCUUUCAUGUUGGCGUAUCAGGGGUCGAUGAUGGUCUCAGCGAGGUCAACCACGAAGUCCUUCUCCUACCCGUUGCUGAUGAUCUUGUAUUGCUUCUGGAUGUCGACAAGCUUGUUGCACCAGAUGGCCGAAACUUCGCAUUCUUCCUUCUCUCCACCGUAGCGAAGGUGCAGUCGGCGCUGCCGAUGAAACGGGCAAAUGCUCCAGAACCUGGUGCAGUCAUAGGACUGAGGCGAGGCAGAGUGAUACGUCCAUUUUGCAUCAUGCUUUUAUAUCAAUAUUUAUUGCAUUAUGGGCUGUUAUUACACAUUAUAUCUCAAUACUUAUGGCUAUUCUCUCUUAUUUUACAAGGUUUACCAUGAAGAGGGGGAAUGCCGGCAGCUGGAAUUCUGGCUGGAAAAGGAGCAAACGUUGGCAACCUAUUCUGCACAACUCCAAAAGACCUGAGACUCCACGAAACAACUUUUUGGAAUUAUUAAGGAAUUAUAAGCAAAAGAAAUAGGCCAGGGGGCCCACACCCUGUCCAGGAGACAGGAGGGCGCCCCCCUAGGGGCGCGCCCUCCUAUCUCCUGGGGCCCCUGGUGGGCCUCCGGCAUCCAUCUUCUACUAUAUGAAGGGUUUUGUCCUGGAAAAAUUCGUGGGCAAGCUUACGAGACGAAACUCCGCCGCCACGAGGCGGAACCUUGGCGGAAUCAAUAUAGGGCUCUGGCGGAGCUGUUCUGCCGGGGACACUUCCCUCCAGGAGGGGGAAAUCAUCACCAACGUCAUCAACAACGAUCCUCUCAUCGGGAGGGGGUCAAUCUCCAUCAACAUCUUCACCAGCACCAACUCAUCUCAAACCCUAGUUCAUCUCUUGUAUCCAAUCUUGUAUCCAAAACCACAAAUUGGUACCUAUGGGAUGCUAGUAGUGUUGAUUACUCCUUAUAGUUGAUACUUAUUGGUUUACUUGGUGGAAGAUCAUAUGUUCAGAUCCUUAAUGCAUAUUAUUACACCUCUGAUCAUGAACAUGAAUAUGCUUUGUGAGUAGUUAUGUUUGUUCCUGAGGACAUGUGUGAAGUCUUGCUAUUAGUAGUCAUGUGAAUUUGGUAUUCGUUCGAUAUUUUGAUGAGAUGUAUGUUGUCUCUCCUCUAGUGGUGUUAUGUGAACGUCGACUACAUGACACUUCACCAUUAUUUGGGCCUGGAGGAAGGCUUAUGGAAGUAAUAAGUAGAUGAUGAGUUGCUAGAGUGACAGAAGCUUAAACCCUAGUUUAUGCGUUGCUUCGUUAGGGGUUGAUAUGGACCCAUAUGUUUAAUGUUGUGGUUAGGUUUACCUUAAUACUCCUUUUUGUAGUUGCGGACUCUUGCAAUAGGGAUUAAUCAUAAGUGGGAUGCUUGUCCAAGUUAGGGAAGUACCCAAGUGCCGGUCCACCCACAUAUCAAAUUAUCAAAGUACCAAACGCGAAUCAUAUGAGCGUGAUGAAAACUAGCUUGACGAUAAUUCCCAAUGUGUCCUCGGGAGCUCCUUCCUCAUUAUUAGAAUUUUUCUAGGCUUAUCCUUUGCUACAUAAAGGAUUGGGCCACCUUGCUGCACUUUAUUUACUUUAUUUACUUUUGCUCGUUACUAUUUAUCUUAUCACAAAACUAUCUAUCACCUACUAUUUCAGUGCUUGCAGAGAAAACCUUACUGAAAACCGCUUAUCAUUUCCUUCUGCUCCUCGUUGGGUUCGACACUAUUACUUAUCGAAAGGACUACAAUAGAUCCCCUACAAUUGUGGGUCAUCAAGACUCUUUUCUGGCGCCGUUGCCGGGGAGCGUAGCGCUCUUGGUGAGUGGAACUUGGUAAGGAAACAUUUAUAUUGUGUGCUGAAAUUUUCUGUUACUUGUCACUAUGGAAACUAAUCCUUUGAGUGGCUUGUUUGGGGUAUGUUCACCCCAACCAGAAGAGCAAAGAAAUGCUCCUCAACCUACUGAACCUUAUGAAAAUGUUCACUUUGAGAUUCCUUCAGGUAUGAUAGAAAAACUGCUAGCUAACAGUUUUGCAGGAGACGGAACAUUGCAUCCCGACUUACACCUUAGCUUUGUGGAUGAAGUUUGUGGAUUAUUUAAGCUUGCAGGUAUUCCUGAUGAUCUUGUCAAAAGGAAGGUCUUCUCUUUAUCUUUGAAGGGAGAUGCAAUGACAUGGUAUAGGCUAUGUGAUGAUACGAGAUCUUGGAAUUAUAAGUGAUUGAAAUUGGAAUUUCACCAGAAGUUCUAUCCUAUGCAUAUUGUUCAUCGUGAUCGUAAUUACAUAUAUAAUUUCUGGCCUCGUGAAGGAUAAAGCAUCGCUCAAGCUUGGGGGAGGCUUAAGUCAAUGUUAUAUUCAUGCCCCAAUCAUGAGCUCUCUCGAGAAAUGAUUAUUCAGAAUUUUUAUGCUCGGCAUUCUCUUGAUAACCGCAACUUGCUCGAUACCUCCUGUGCUGGUUCCUAUAUGCUAAAGACUAUUGAUUUCAAAUGGACUUAUUGGAAAGAAUUAAACGCAACGCUGAAGAUUGGGGUUCCGACGAUGGUAAGGAGUCAGGUAUGACACCUAAGUUUGAUUGUGUUAAAUCUUUUAUGGAUACCGAUGCUUUCUGUGGAUUUAGCUCUAAGUAUGGACUUGACUCUGAGAUAGUAGCUACUUUUUGUGAAACUUUUGCUGCUCACAUUGAUCUCCCUGAAGAGAAGUGGUUUAAAUGUAAUCCUCCUGUUGAAGUGAAAGUAGUUGCACCUAUUACAGUCGAAGAGAAGACUAUUACAUAUAGUGAUCCUAUUAUUCCUAUUGCUUAUGUUGAAAAACCUCCUUUUCAUGUUAGGAUAAAAAAUCAUGUUAAAGCUUCGACUGUUGUUCGUAAGAGUAAUACUAGGACCUAUACACCUCCUGAGAAAAUUAAUGUUAAACUUGGUAUUACUAUGAUUAAAGAUCUCUUGGAUUAGGACUUAGAUGGGCAUGUUAUCUCUUUCUUGGGUGAAACUGCUAAUAUUGCUAGACCCGAUACUAAGACACGUAGACCUGUUGUAGGCACGGCUGUUAUUUCUGUUAAAAUUGGAGAUCAUUGUUAUCAUGGCUUAUGUGAUAUGGGUGCUAGUGCUAAUGCAAUACCUUAUGAUCUUUAUAAAGAAAUUAUGCACAAUAUUGCACCAGUUGAAUUAGAAGAUAUUGAUGUUACUAUUAAGCUUGCUAAUAGGGACACCAUUAAACCUAUUGGGAUUGUUAGAGAUGUUGAAGUCUUGUGUGGGAAGAUUAAAUACCCUGCUGAUUUCCUUGUUCUCGGUUCCCCACAAGAUGAUUUUUGUCCCAUUAUGUUUGGUAGACCCUUCUUGAACACUGCUAGUGCUAAAAUUGAUUGUGAAAAGAAUAUUGUCACUGUUGGCUUAGAUUGUAUGUCUCAUGAGUUUAAUUUUGCUAAGUUUAGUAGACAACAUGGUGAAAAGGAACCAUCUAGUAAGGAUGAGAUUAUUGGUCUUGCUUCCAUUGAUGUUCCUCCAACUGAUCCGUUAGAACAAUAUUUGCUAGACCAUGAAAACGAUAUGUUUAUGAAGGAAAGGGAAGAAAUAGAUGAAGUGUUCCUUCAACAAGAACCUAUGCUAAAACAUAAUCUUCCUGUUGAAAUUCUUGGGGAUCCCCCUCCACCCAAGGGUGAUCCCGUGUUUGAACUCAAACCAUUACCUGAUAAUCUUAAGUAUGCUUAUCUUGCUGAAAAAGAAAUAUAUCCUGUUAUUAUUAGUGCUAACCUUUCAGAGAAAGAAGAAGAAAGAUUAUUGAAAACUCUGAAGAAGCACCGAGCUGCUAUAGGAUAUACCCUGGAUGAUCUCAAGGGCAUUAGUCCCACAUUAUGUCAACAUAAAAUUUCAGUGGAGAAAGAUGCCAAACCUGUUAGAGAUCCUCAAAGACGAUUAAAUCCCAAAAUGAAGGAAGUGGUGAGAAAGGAGAUACUAAAACUCCUUGAGGCAGGUAUAAUUUAUCCCAUUGCUGAUAGUGAAUGGGUAAGCCAUGUCCAUUGUGUCCCUAAAAAGGGAGGUAUUGCCAUUGUCCCUAAUGAUAAAUAUGAAUUGAUCCCGCAAAGAAUUAUUACAGGCUAUAGGAUGGUAAUUGAUUUCUGCAAGUUAAAUAAAGCUACUAAGAAAGAUCAUUACCCUUUACCUUUUAUUGAUCAAAUGCUAGAAAGGUUAUCCAAACACACACAUUUUUGCUUUCUAGAUGGUUAUUCUGGCUUCUCUCAGAUACCUGUAUCAGCAGGGGAUCAAUCUAAAACUACUUUUACUUGCCCUUUUGGUACUUUUACUUAUAGACGUAUGCCUUUUGGUUUAUGUAAUGCACCUGCUACCUUUCAAAGAUGCAUGAUGGAUAUAUUUUCUGAUUUUUGUGAAAAGAUUUGUGAGUUAUUCAUGGAUGACUUCACCGUCUAUGGAUCCUCUUUUGAUGAUUCUUUGAGAAACAUUGAUCGAGUUUUGCAGAGAUGCGAAGACACUAGUCUCCUCCUGAAUUGGGAAAAGUGUCACUUUAUGGUUAAUGAAGGCAUUGUCUUGGGGCACAAGAUCUCUGAGAGGGGUAUUGAAGUUGAUAAAGCCAAAGUUGAUGCUAUUGAAAAGAUGCCAUGUCCCAAGGACAUAAAAGGUAUAAGAAGUUUCCUUGGUCAUGCCGGUUUUUAUAGGAGGUUCAUUAAGGACUUUUCCAAAAUCUCUAGGCCUUUGACUAAUUUAUUGCAAAAGAUAUUCCUUUUGUCUUUGAUGAUUAUUGUGUAGAAGCAUUUGAAACACUUAAGAAGGCUUUUAUCACAACACAUAUUGUUCAGCCACCUGAUUGGAAUUUGCCUUUUGAAAUUAUGUGUGAUGCUAGUGAUUAUGUUGUAGGUGCUGUUCUAGGGCAAAGAGUCGAUAAGAAAUUGAAUGUUAUCCAUUAUGCUAGUAAGACUCUUGAUACAGCCCAGAGAAAUUAUGCCACCACUGAAAAAGAAUUCUUAGCAGUUGUGUUUGCAUGUGAUGAGUUUAGACCUUAUAUUGUUGAUUCCAAAGUUACUAUUCACACUGAUCAUGCUGCUAUUAAAUAUCUUAUGGAAAAGAAAGAUGCUAAGCCUAGACUCAUUAGAUGGGUUCUCUUGCUCCAAGAAUUUGACUUGCAUAUUAUUGAUAGAAAGGGAGCUGAGAACCCCGUUGCAGACAACUUGUCUAGGCUAGAGAAUGUUCUUGAUGACCCACUGCCUAUUAAUGAUAGUUUUCCUGAUGAACAAUUAGCAGUUGUCAAUGCUUCUCGUACUGCUCCUUGGUAUGCUGACUAUGCUAAUUACAUUGUUGCUAAAUACAUACCGCCUAGUUUCACAUACCAGCAAAAGAAAAAGUUCUUUUAUGAUUUAAGACAUUACUUCUGGGAUGAUCCACACCUUUAUAAAGAAGGACUAGAUGGUAUUAUUAGAUGUUGUGUGUCUGAGCAUGAACAGGAACAAAUCCUACGCAAGUUUCACUCCGAAUCCUAUGGAGGACACACGCUGGAGAUAGAACUGCACACAAGGUACUACAAUCUGGUUUUUAUUGGCCUACUCUUUUCAAAGAUGCUCGUAAGUUUGUCGUAUCUUGUGAUGAAUGUCAAAGAAUAGGUAACAUCAGUAGACGUCAAGAAAUGCCUAUGAAUUAUUCUCUUGUUAUUGAACCGUUUGAUGUUUGGGGCUUUGAUUAUAUGGGACCUUUUCCUGCCUCCAAUGGUUAUACACAUAUUUUAGUUGUUGUUUAUUACGUUACUAACUGGGCUGAAGCUAUUCCAACUAGUAGUGUUGAUCAUAACACUUCUAUUAAAAUGCUUAAAGAAGUUAUUUUUCUGAGGUUUGGAGUCCCUAGAUAUCUUAUGACUGAUGGUGGUUCACACUUUAUUCAUGGUGCUUUCCGUAAGAUGCUUGCUAAGUAUGAUGCCAAUCAUAGAAUUGCAUCUCCUUAUCACCCGCAGUCAUGUGGUCAAGUAGAGUUGAGCAAUAGAGAGCUCAAAUUAAUUUUGCAAAAGACUGUGAAUAGAUCUAGAAAGAAUUGGUCCAAGAAACUUGAUGAUGGAUUAUGGGCCUAUAGAACUGCAUACAAAAAUCCUAUGGGUAUGUCUCCAUAUAAAACGGUUUAUGGAAAAGCAUGUCAUUUACCUCUUGAACUUGAACACAAAGCAUAUUGGUCUAUUAAAGAGCUUAAUUAUGACUUUAAACUUGUCGGUGAGAAAAGGUUAUUUGAUAUUAGCUCACUUGAUGAAUGGAGAACCCAAGCAUAUGAGAAUGCUAAGCUUUUCAAAGAAAAAGUCAAACGCUGGCAUGAUAAGAGGAUACAAAAGCGUGAGUUUAACGUAGGAGAUUAUGUGUUGUUGUUCAACUCUCGUUUAAGAUUUUUUACAGGAAAACUUCUCUCAAAAUGGGAAGGUCCCUAUGUUAUCGAGGAGGUCUAUUGUUCUGGUGCUAUAAAAAUCAACAACUUUGAAGGCACAAAUCCGAGGGUGGUAAAUGGUCAAAGAAUUAAACAUUAUAUUUUAGGUAACCCUAUAAAUGUUGAAACCAAUAUUAUUGAAACCAUAACCCCUGAGGAAUAUAUAGGAGACACUUUCUAGAACGUUCUAGACUCUGAAAAGCCAUAGGUACGUGGUACGGUAAGUAAACCAACUCCAAAACAACUCUAAUAUCAAUUUUCAUCAGUUUUGGAUUAUUUAAGGAUUUUAGGAAGAAAGAAGUAGUCCGAAAGGGACACGGGGCUCCCACGAGAGAGGAGGCCCCCCCUGUAGGGCGCGCCCCCCUGUCUCGUGAGCACCUCGUGUGCCUCCUGGACUCCGUUUUCUUGUAGGUUAUGUAUUUUGGUCAGUAAAAAUUCAUUAUAUAUACUCCCAAAGGUUUUGACCACCGCAUCACGCAAAUAUUCUCUGUUUUCGUUUCGAGCUGUUCCUGCUGCAAAAUUGAACAAGAUGUCGUCCCAAGAUUCGGAGGGAGAAAGCUACAUAGCUGAUUAUAUUGCAAAUCCAAAAGUAUAUGGGGUUGUGGAACGCUAUGGCUGGACCACAGAGGAAGAAGAAGACUAUGAUCCAAAGAUGAAGGAGGAGACAAGCUCUGAUGAAGAGGACGAUCCACUGCCUCAACCUGGUGAUAUGCAUGUGGAGUUCAAGAAAUCAAGUCUCCCUAAGGUCCAAUCUAUCCCACCGCGUUUUUUGCACGACAGCAAGGAAACACUAUGCAAAAUGAUAAUGAAACUUGAGCUCGAGAAUGAGGAUCUGAGAGAGGAAAAAUUUAGCCUCAGACGCAAGCUAGAGAAGAAAAGUGCGACAACACCACCUCCAUCACCUCUGAAGAAAUAAUCACAUGGGUAUGGGCACUCCCCUUGGCAACUGCCAAGCUUGGGGGAGGUGCCCCGAUAUCGUAUCACCAUCACACUCCUAUCUUUACUGCUUUAUUUAGUUCGAUCCUUUUAGUAGUAUCUUGAUCUAUUAGUUCGAAGUUUUGAUAUCAAGUAGUUUUGAGUUUUGAAUUGUGAUCUCUUUAUGUAAGCGAGUCCGUGUGCUAUCUAUAAUAAAAGACUAGUGUUGAGUCAAGGGCUUUGCUAUGUUGCUAUGAUCUUGAGAAAGUAGAAAGAACAAAAGAGUUCAUAUUGAUCUUAUGGAUAGUGAUAACUUCACACAUAGAAAGUAUGAGGCAUAAAAAUUGUUGAGAGUUGAUGAACGUAGCCUUGGACAUCGUUGCAAUUAAUAGGAAGUGAUAAGGAAAGAGGGGUUCACAUAUAGAUAUAUUAUCUUGGACAUCUUUCAUGAUUGUGAAGCACUCAUUAAGUAUGACAUGCUAAAUGAGUUGACGUUGGACAAGGAAGACAACGUAAUGGUUUAUGUUUUUCGACAUCUAAGUUAAAGUAUAUUGUCAGUGACCUUCUAAACAUGUUGAGCUUGCCUUUCCCCCUCAUGCUAGCCAAAACUCCUUGCACCAAGUAGAGAUACUACUUGUGCUUCCAAAUAUCCUUACACCCAGUUUUGUCAUGAGAGUCCACCAUACCUACCUAUGGAUUGAGUAAGAUCCUUCAAGUAAGUUGUCAUCGGUGCAAGCAAUAAAAAUUGCUCUCUAAAUAUGCAUGACUUAUUAGUGCAGAGAAAAUAAGCUUUGUACGAACUUGUUGUGGAAGUAAUAAAAGCGACAGAUUACAUAAUAAAGGUCCACAUACAAGGGGCAAUAUAAAGUGAUGUUCUUUUUCACUAAGAUUUUGUGUAUCCAACCCUGAAAGCGCACGACAACCUCUGCUUCCCUCUAUGAAGGGCCUAUCUUUUACUUUAUGUUUUACUUUAAUACUUGAGUCAAGGUGAUCCUCACCUUUCCCUUUUUCAUUUUAUCCUUUAGCAAGCUCUUCGUGUUUGAAAGAUCAUGAUAUAUAUAUCCGAUUGGAUGUAAGUUGGCAUAGGCUAUUAUUGUUGACAUCACCUAAAGGUGAAUACGUUGGGAGGCAACACAAUAAGCCCAUAUCAUUCUCAGUGUCCAGCUGAAACUCUAUAACCACAAGUAUUGCGUGAGUGUUAACAAUUAUGGGAGACUCUGAGAUAGUUGAGUAUGUGAGCUUGCUGAGAAGCUCUAUUAUUGACUCUUUCUGAUGUUACACUAAAUUGCAAUUGCUGCAAUGACUGAGAUUAUAGUUUGUUAGUUCCCAAUGAAGUUUUUGAACCAUACUUGACAUUGUGAAUUGCUUAUCACUUGAACAUAGUAAAUCAUAUGACAAAAUCGAUAUAUGUUGUUGUUAUUAGAAUGAUCAUGAUGCCCUCAUGUCCAUAUUUUAUUUUUAUCGACACCUCUAUCUCUAAACAUGUGGACAUAUUUUUCAAUUCUGGUUUCCGCUUGAGGACAAGCGAGGUCUAAGCUUGGGGGAGUUGAUAUGUCCAUUUUGCAUCAUGCUUUUAUAUCAACAUUUAUUGCAUUAUGGGCUGUUAUUACACAUUAUAUCUCAAUACUUAUGGCUAUUCUCUCUUAUUUUACAAGGUUUACCAUGAAGAGGGGGAAUGCCGGCAGCUGGAAUUCUGGCUGGAAAAGGAGCAAACGUUGGAAACCUAUUCUGCACAACUCCCAAAGACCUGAGACUCCAUGAAACAACUUUUUGGAAUUAUUAAGGAAUUGUGAGCAAAAGAAAUAGGCCAGGGGGGCCCACACCCUGUCCAGGAGACAGGAGGGCGCCCCCCUAGGGGCGCCCCCCUAUCUCCUGGGCCCCCUAGUGGGCCUCUGGCAUCCAUCUUCUGCUAUAUGAAGGGUUUUGUCCUGGAAAAAUUCAUGGGCAAGCUUACGAGACGAAACUCCGCCGCCACGAGGCAGAACCUUGGCGGAAUCAAUCUACGGCUGUGGCGGAGCUAUUCUGCCGGGGACACUUCCCUCCGGGAGGGGGAAAUCAUCACCAACGUCAUCACCAACGAUCCUCUCAUCGGGAGGGGGUCAAUCUUCAUCAACAUCUUCACCAGCACCAACUCAUCUCAAACCCUAGUUCAUCUCUUGUAUCCAAUCUUGUAUCCAAAACCACAAAUUGGUACGUGUGGGUUGCUAGUAGUGUUGAUUACUCCUUGUAGUUGAUACUUAUUGGUUUACUUGGUGGAAGAUCAUAUGUUCAGAUCCUUAAUGCAUAUUAUUACACCCCUGAUCAUGAACAUGAAUAUGCUUUGUGUGUAGUUACGUUUGUUCCUGAGGACAUGGGUGAAGUCUUGCUAUUAGUAGUCAUGUGAAUUUGGUAUUCGUUCGAUAUUUUGAUGAGAUGUAUGUUGUCUCUCCUCUAGUGGUGUUAUGUGAACGUCGACUACAUGACACUUCACCAUUAUUUGGGCCUAUAGGAAGGCAUAGGGAAGUAAUAAGUAGAUGAUGGGUUGCUAGAGUGACAGAAGCUUAAACCCUAGUUUAUGCGUUGCUUCGUUAGGGGUUGAUAUGGACCCAUAUGUUUAAUGAUGUGGUUAGGUUUACCUUAAUACUCCUUUUUGUAGUUGCGGACGCUUGCAAUAGGGGUUAAUCAUAAGUGGGAUGCUUGUCCAAGUUAGGGAAGUAUCCAAGUGCCGGUCCACCCACAUAUCAAAUUAUCAAAGUACCGAACACGAAUCAUAUGAGCGUGAUGAAAACUAGCUUGACGAUAAUUCCCAAUGUGUCCUCGGGAGCUCCUUCCUCAUUAUUAGAAUUUGUCCAGGCUUAUCCUUUGCUACAUAAAGGAUUGGGCCACCUUGCUCCACUUUAUUUACUUUAUUUACUUUUGCUCGUUACUAUUUAUCUUAUCACAAAACUAUCUAUCACCUACUAUUUCAAUGCUUGCAGAGAAAACUUUACUGAAAACCGCUUAUCAUUUCCUUCUACUCCUCAUUGGGUUCGACACUCUUACUUAUCGAAAGGACUAUGAUAGAUCCCCUACACUUGUGGGUCAUCACAGAGCUUCACCAAGUCCGUAUCGUUGGUGUACAUCACAUUCAACUUGGUGCAGCCAUAGGACUGAACGGCGAACUCAAAGGGGAACCCCUUGCUGAAGUCCAUAUCUAGCAGGCUCACCCCUCGGAUCGUCAUUGGAGUCUCUUCGAGUGAAUGAGUGUGUAGGCGGCGGCAGCAGUUCGUUUUUCAGCUCUUGGGGAACUGGAUUCAACAGUAAGCUGAGUGUGUACAGGUGACAACAGUUACUACCCCUCCCUCGUCCAUUGCACGCCCAGCAGAAGAUGCACCCUCGGCACAUUGAAACGCCUCCAUUAAGAAACCUACUCCGGCCACACGUCGGUUCACGAGCGGGUCUGUAUUGGUACUGUAAUAACAGGAGUUAGUGGUCACUUUACUUAAAUUUAAUUAGCUUUAAUAGAAAUUUAUACUUAAAACAAGCAAUGCAUUCGCUCGUUCUAUCAGUGCCACAGGAUCAACAUGCACAACAAUUGGAAUUAUUAUUCUCAGGAAGCACACGAUCAGCACAUUUGUCGCACUUUCACAAAGAUAAUACUAGCCAAGUUUGAACUGUUUGUUAUGGUUGUUGUCCUCUGCAUCAUCAUGCCGUGUUUCCCAGCUUGCAAGAUUCAGAACCAGCAAAUAAGAUCCAAAUAAUAAGUACAACAAAGAUGCCUACACAUCUCAUUGAUUCCCAGCUUGCAAGAUUCAGAACCAAUAAAUAAGAUCCAAAUAAUAAGUACAACAAAGAUGCCUACACAUCUCAUUGAUUCCCAGCUUGCAAGAUUCAGAACCAACAAAUAAGAUUCAAAUAAUAAGUACAACAAAGAUGCCUACACACCUCACUGAUUCCCAGCUUGCAAGAUUCAGAAACAACCCAUUAGAGCCUUUUGAUAAAGUGAAUAUCGGGAUUAAAUCCAUCUUGGCUAGCCAUGUCAUACAAUCGAAGAACUUGGCGAAUGCUCUUGACUGUCACAACAUCUGUAGUUGAGUAUUCCUGUUUGCACAGCAUGUUUGCACAGCACAAACAAGGAGACAGGAGAGCAUGAUUUCAUAUUAAUAGCGGCCUCCUUGAACUCAACCUCCAGCUCUACUUGGAUGAGGUCUGCCUGGAGUUCCAUGAUUCAAUUCAUGUGCCUUUUUCUGCAGUUCACCUGAAAUGAAGCAAAGAUUGCAUCAUUCAGCUAGCAAGAAGUACUUGCUCUUGUGAGCUGGCAGGUUCUUCUUUAGUAGUUGCACUAAAAUUAAGGAACAUUAAGGUUGGCUGUCCGGCUCAUGUAAGGUGCAAUUAUAAUUUUCUUAUCCUUUUGUGUAGUUCCACUAAAAUAAAGUGCCAUUGUGGUGACAGUGACGGCUCCAUCUUGCAAAGGCUAAUAAAAUGUUGUACGAGAUUACCGGCAGAACUUGACGGAGAUUUUGGAAACUCCAAUCACCAUUUUGUGCAGUUCCACCAAAACUGAGAGAUGUUGCCCAUGUGACAUUUUAGUUGAACUGCACAAGACACUCAUUCCAAAAAAAAAAGUGUUUUGUGCAGUUCACCAAAAGGUCACAAUAGCAACAAGGUGAAAUGGAUAUCCCUAUCUGCACAAAAAGAUAGAAAGUAAACAGUUGUUGGUCAAUAAGAAUAUAUGAAACAUAUACAAAAUGAAAAGAAGCAUCUUAAUUAUGUUCAUGGCAAUCACGCAAGGACAGUAGAAAUUUUAAAACGUCAGCAAUGCUUCAUGUUACCAGAAGCAUUACAAUCAACAAUGAGAUUCCUCAAAUAUGGGAUUACUUUAAUGGUGGCAUUGCUUGUUUACCAGACACAGUAAAUCAACAGCAGCUAAAGAGUUGGUUUAAGAGCAUGGGACCAUGGGGACACCAGGACACUCUGCAGCGUAAAGGAGCAACUUACUUAUCAUACUGGGGAAAAUAGCAAGAGUGCCAUUUGUAACACAAUUUAAUUGCAUCUUAUCACUGGAGGCAUUAGAUUAACAAUAACACUGGUUAGACAUGUCUCUAAGGUAACGGUGUGAUCGCUUCAUUUUACAUGCGCCCUUACAUUAACAACAGCAAAAGGUUGGUAUAAGGACAUGCGACAGUGGACGCAUCAGCACAAUGUACCUACAAGGAGGCAUAAAGUGGUGAUGCCGAGUUUGUUCAUGCUAUGUGAGGGCAGCAAAUCUAAUCCUGGAGACCUUGUACUAUGUGAGGGCAGCAAAAUCUAAUCCUGGAGACCUUUUACUAUGUGAGGGCAGCAAAUCUAAUCCUGGAGACCUUUUACUAUGUGAGGGCAGCAAAUCUAAUCCUGGAGACCUUUUACUAUGUGAGGACAGCAAAUCUAAUCCUGAGGCCUUUUACUAUGUGAGGGCAGUAAAUCUAAUCCUGAGACCUUUUACUAUGUGAGGGCAACAAAUCUAAUCCUGGAGACCUUUUACUAUGUGAUGGCAGCAAAUCUAAUCCUGGACAUACUCUGUUGACUUGUCCACCAGCCGCCACUUUCUAUCCUUUUUUCAACCAAUAAUAGAUCUGUUCCUUUUCUAGUUUGUACUGCGUUUUCCCAUUAUUUCCGUUUUCAACCAAGAGACCAGUUGGGUAUCCAGUCUCUACUACUUUCACCAUAUUAUUUCCUCUUUGAAUCAAGUCCUAGAUUCAUGCUACAACUUUCCCCUCUUUCUUCGUUGUUUGAACAAAGCCCUAGAUUCGAAUGCAUGAAGUAGCUUUACCUCUAAUAAUACUAAAAAUUUAGGUGGCUUUGGAAGAGCUGAUGGGAGUAGAAAAAGAUGCACAUGCAGACACGUGGGGAGCUGGGGCAGUAGAGCAAGGCCGCUUUUGAAGAAAUUAUACCUGAGGGUCGUCGGGAUGUCGGCGGCGGCAGGUCGGAUCUGUGGACAAUAUGGCAGGGAGGAAGAAGGGUCAGAGGACCUCCCGAGCCGGCGCUGUGUCGGAGAGAACGGCACGGCCAGAGGAUCGGGCCCCUCCGGCAGCUGCGGGUUUCCUCCCUCGGCGGCGAUGACCGCGUGAAUGAUGCACCUUUUAGUCCUCUACACACACCGGCCGAAGGGAUCCGGCUGGAUCUGUGAACAUCGGUGAGCAGAGAGAAAAUGUUGCUACCGUUGUCUUGUUUAUAUCUGGAGAGGAUGAGAGAAUGAAGAGAGCAACCCUAGUAAAGCAAGCACUCAGGCCCCUGUGUCCAUAUAUAGUGGAGUGAUUAUCUUUUUUCUCUCCACAACAAGCGUUUCAAUUUGUGCACGUGGCUUUAAAGAAAAGAAACUCUCUAUUUAAGGUGACUACUGUACGACUCCUACUUACUACUACUAGUACUACAGUAUUGUUCACUUGUGCUCCCCGCCCCUCCAUUCAUUGAACAACCCCACGGGUGAAUAAACAUACAGUAAGUAUUGUAUUUAUAUAGAACGAACAAGCUCGAACUAUUUUCGCAUAGUUAAAAGUUGAGGGCGGGGCUUUUCCCGGGCAGUACGCGCGGCAUUUUCGGGUAGGCGGUUUGACAGAGAGCCCACUAAAAGAGAACUAAAAAAAUCUCCCCUACCCGCACCAGAUCGCUCCCCCCCCUCUUGAACGACUCCUCUCUGUUCCCCAUAGGGCCGCCCGCCCAAGUGCCACUCGCCCUCUCUCUCCUCCGGCCGCCAUCUCCUUCCGGCCUCCGCCACCCUACUCCGGCUGCCCUCUCCCUCCGACCUUUGAAGCUCGCCCCCUCCCCCUUCACCAGUCGAUUUUCUCCCUCUGUCGUGCGCGGCGGCGGCGCAUCUACCAGGGAGGUCGCGAGAGGGGUGAGUUUUUUCGUUCCUUCUCUAUCUCACGGCCAUAUCAUUGAUCUUGCUUGCUCUAGCGCUAAUUCUUAUUUGGAAAAGUAGAUCCUGUUCAAACUUGGUAUAGAUUUUUGGUGCACGCAUGGAAUUUUUUGAUGCUGCUUGAGGAGGUAAUAAAUCUUUCUAGAGGCCCAAAGAUUCAGGUCACCUUUCUAGGUAUUUCAAUUUUAGGCUUGCAUUAUUUCUAGAGGCCCAAAGAUUCAGUUCAACUUUCUAGAUAUUUCAAUUUUAGGCUUGCAUUAUUUCUAGAUGCCCAAAGAUUCAGUUCACCUUUCUAGGUAUUUCAGUUUCAGGCUUGCAUUAUUUCUAGAGGCCAAAGAUUCAGUUCACCUUUCUAGGUAUUUCAGUUUCAGGCUUGCAUUAUUUCUAGAGGCCCAAAGAUUCAGUUCACCUUUCUAGGUAUUUCAGUUUCAGGCUUGCAUUAUUUCUAGAGGCCCAAAGAUUCAGUUCACCUUUCUAGGUAUUUUAGUUACAAGCUUGCAUUAUUUCUAGAGGCCCAAAGAUUGAGUUCCUAGUCGGCGGCAAGCGGCCCUGCUACCCAUGUCGGUGUCGACCUCAACUCACAAGGGCCGGCGUCGGAGGGGUUCCCGGGGNNNNNNNNNNNNNNNNNNNNNNNNNNNNNNNNNNNNNNNNNNNNNNNNNNNNNNNNNNNNNNNNNNNNNNNNNNNNNNNNNNNNNNNNNNNNNNNNNNNNNNNNNNNNNNNNNNNNNNNNNNNNNNNNNNNNNNNNNNNNNNNNNNNNNNNNNNNNNNNNNNNNNNNNNNNNNNNNNNNNNNNNNNNNNNNNNNNNNNNNNNNNNNNNNNNNNNNNNNNAAAGAUUCAGUUCACCUUUCUAGGUAUUUCAGUUUCAGGCUUGCAUUAUUUCUAGAGGCCCAAAGAUUCAGUUCACCUUUCUAGGUAUUUCAGUUUCAGGCUUGCAUUAUUUCUAGAGGCCCAAAGAUUCAGUUCACCUUUCUAGGUAUUUCACUUUCAGGCUUGCAUUAUUUGUAGAGGCCCAAAGAUUCAGUUCACCUUUCUAGGUAUUUCAGUUUUAGGCCUGCAUUAUUUCUAGAGGCCCAAAGAUUCAGUUCACCUUUCUAGGUAUUUUAGUUACAAGCUUGCAUUAUUUCUAGAGGCCCAAAGAUUGAGUUCCUAGUCGGCGGCAAGCGGCCCUGCUACCCAUGUCGGUGUCGACCUCAACUCACAAGGGCCGGCGUCGGAGGGGUUCCCGGGGCUUGGGCUCUACAGAGCCUUCCUCCAGAGCGACGAUGGCGAGCUCCUCCCUCGGUGCGUGAGGGGCUCCGGGCUCCCUCCCUAUCGUGAAUGACUUUCGUGAUGAGUUAGCUCAUUCUUGGUUUCGUGAAGGGCCUGUUUGGUUUGCAGCCUAAGGUUGCCACGCCUAAGCUUAGGUGUGCCACAAUAUCUUAGGCAUGUGUUUGGUUCAUUGUCACACUUGUGGCUUGCCAUACUUUUCUAGUUACAUGGUCCACAUGUCAUAGACUCAACUUCUUGCCAAAUCUUGCCACACUUGUUGUGGCCAUUUUGUUAGCCACACUUUUUGUGGCAGCCGCACUUUGCUAAGCUUAGUUGUGGCAAAGUUAGUCAUGAACCAAACAGACCCGAAGUGUUUUUUUAUUUUGUGAAGCUUGAUUGACGACUUGUAUGUUUAAGUGGGAUAUCUCAUUUGUAUGGACAAAGUAAAAAUUAUCAUGUUUUGCAUGCUUGAUUUGUAUAAAUGGUUUGUUUAUGUCAAUUGUGAGCGGGAGGAGGCCACAGAGGAGCCGGCCACAAAUCCGGCAGGAAAUAGUGUCCAAAGUAGUCAAAUGAUUGACAUAGAGCAUUUAUUGUCAAUCUAACCCUGCCAUCCAUACACCUCUUUGGUUUAGAGUUAGUUCAGGGUUAGAAUCUAACUCUAACCUCUAACUGAGUUAGAGUUCUCCUCAUCUCGGUUCAUCGCCAUCAUACUUUCCCCAUUCCUGUCUUUUCAGUAUCCUGCGAAUCAAAGAGGCCCUUUUUUGCGGGAAAAAUCAAAGAGGCCCUUAGACUGGUUUAGGUCCGGUCAUUUUUUUAUAAACGUGUUAUGUCCAAAAUUUAAUGAACGUGCUCCGGUUUCCACGGAAACAAUCCGGUUUCAUGUAGUAAUUCAUUUAUUUAUUUAUUCUUCUGCGGGGGGUUUGCAUGUAAUUCGUGAGGUCUGAAAUGUAAACUACCCCGGCAUAUGCUCCGAAUCGUGCAUGCACUACGACCCAGAUGCUCUAUGUCCCACAUGUCGGCGAAUGGGAGCACGUGGAAAUAGCCUAGGAGUACAUAUAGGAGGAUAAAUGCGUGAAAAAAUAUGUACUGUGAAGCGUAGUCGCGGUUCGAAAAGGAGACCUAAAGUGAUGACACCUAUAGGUCGCACGCACCCAACUAGUGGUACUAGACAUACAACUAAUUUUUCCCUCAAAAAAAAGAUGCAUGAGUGCUCAAUACUCCUAUUCUAUAAACACGAGUCCCAUCUGACAACAGCGUCCGUGCUACAGCUAGCUCUCCUCCCUUGUUUCUCUCUUCUAAUUCUAAACUCGGCCGACGCCCGGUGGGCCGGGUGGGUUUGCUCAACUGCGGUCCUACCUCACAGUGAAAACAUUACGACUGGAAUGAAAAUGCCAUAUACUCCCUCCGUUCAUAAAUAUAAGCCGUUUUAGAUACUAUUUCAAAUGGAAUACAACAUACAGAUGUAUGUAGACAUAGUUUAGAGUGUAGAUUCACUCAUUUUGCUCCGUAUGUAGUAGUCACUUCCUGGAAUCUUUAGAAAGACUUAUAUUUGGGAACGGAGGGAGUACUAUACUAAUAAAACAUUAAGGCCACGAGGUGAUGCAGUGCUGGUUACACAAGGCAACAAGAAGAGAUGCAUCCAUCGACGAUGUCCACCUCCUCGACUUAGGGCGUCGGCCCACCGAACGGCGCUUAAGUAGCAGCGACUUUCAUGGCCAGGUCGAGGUGCUUCUGAACAAUGGCGUCCAAAGAUUCUAGCCGCUAGAAGGAGGCCAACGUCUUUCUGUCCUCGCUUGCCUGUAGUGGCCUAUGUAGAUGAUUUCCUCGUAGACGUGGAUGUGCAGAUCGACGGUUUCUUACAUGGCAAGGCACUGCAUGGCGAGUGCGGCCUCGAGGUGCACAUUCUUCGUCGCGACCUUCGGCACCUGCAGGGCCACCAGGGCUUGAAAGAGUUCGUCACCAUGGAGGCCGAUGAGGGUGGCAGGCAAUGAGGAGCCUGGGCGCGCAGGCUGGAGCAGCACGGCAAGGUCGUCCGCGCACUUCUUGACAGCGGUGAACUUGCGGAUGGAAUUGACCAUCAUAUCGUCCAUGCCAGAAGAGAAGCCGGCGUCGGUGAGGGCUACGAUGCCUACGGUCGCCAGCACCGUCUGGAAAUGCUGCGCGGUGCGGGGCUGCAGGCCGGCGCCUUGGAUGAUUUGGCACAGCCGACUGCCGCUCGCAUCCAUCGCCUUCAUAGGUCCUUCUGGCUUCUAGUCACUUGGUCUUGGAUUGGAGUGAGCAGUGUUGCGCAGAGACUUGGGAGUAGAUGGAUUGGAGUGGUGGGGCGCCUUUAUUAUAUGAGAGUCCAAAUUCUGUUGCAUUCACAUCGUGCUGGCUCUAUUCUUCUUCUCCAAUUAAUUCCCUCUGCAUGUAUUUGAGGAUGCAUCAUUGACCGUUCAACGUCUGAGGAACCACUACCCUCUCCCUCCUUGGCAUUCAAGCACCUAUGGACCCGUCGACGAUGUGGUGCCUAUGGUGACUUCAUAAAUUUCAAGAUGAUAGUGCCGUGUGUGUGUGCAUUCAUAGGGAUGAGUGUAUGCGCGUGUAUAUGAGCGCUUGCAUUUGUACUGUGUCAAAAAAAAUGUAAAUGCGUGUCAAAAAGAGACUAGUCAAUAUACUCAAUAUUGUGCACCUCGGAGAGGAAAACGAUAAACCUUGUACGUAUUUAUUUACGGUGCAGAUUCACUCAUUUUGCUUCAUAUGUACUCCGUCUCGGUGUAGUCUAGUCACUUGUUGAAAUCUCUAGAAGGGCAAAUACUCCUUUCUGGUUUACAGGGCUAUACUAGCAAGUAGUUGUAGUACAAUAGUGGGCUCAUAUAGCAAUUUUGUCUCAUGCAACGUUCAGUUUGCGCUUGGCUCUUCGCCUCUUCGAUAAGACGAACAAUGAUGUUACUACUACUGCUUCUACAGUGUUAAAUCCACCGCUGCAUGUCCGUCCACCACGAGCGGGACGGAUAGCUUGUUGUAGAAGUAUACUACUACUAAGCAAAAGCCUGUCCUCGUUUGCGAGCAACUGCGCGCAUGGGCGAGGGAGAAGGCGUGUAGUAAAAUCAAGCUUCUCCUCGUUGUACGUCAUCAUAGCACUGGCCCCACAUGCUUGCCUCUAAACUUGGCUCAAAAACCCGCAGUGUACAAUAUAUUUGCUGCAACCUCUAACAUUUACCCACCACAAAUUAAAAUAUAUGUGGCUGUAUGCAUCGUUCUGAUGCAGAGGCCGGGGAGUCCCCCCUUUUCAAAAAAAAACAAAUUAAAAUAUAUAUUCCUGUCUUGACCAGAUUAGCGUGAAAACUACAAUCACCAGGGUGACAGGUAGGGCCAGAAGACUAUUUUUUUUUAAAAAAAAAAACUUCGAGACGGCCACAUAGCAUGGAGCCGACCCGAACGAUUUUAAGCUUAUAGGCACGGUACACACUAUCCUAGACUAUUCUACACAUGAAACUGCCACACGAGCAUCCGGGCUGCGCUUGGCUCUUCGCCUCUUCGGGAAGUUGAACAAUGAUGGAGUACUACUGCACUCGAGGAGUACUAUAGUAUGCUUCUGGCCAUUUGACACCGAUAGAACUGCUGCAUGUCCACCGCGUGCGGGAGGGAGAGCGUGUAGCGAAAGCUUCUCCUAGUCUUGUCAGCCACCACGCUCAUGGGCGAGGGAGGGACGCUCCUGCCUUUGCGUGUAUGACAUGUGGGCCUAACAGGUGGGUGGCCAACCUGUCAUACAGCCAAAGGCAGGUGCAGUUAAGUCCGCGAGGGAGAGGAUAAUCAAACUUCUCAUUGAUGUACGAGUUGACGCGACACAUCAAAGCACUGCACUCGAUAUAUUUUAAUAAUUUGCGGUUACCGAUGCAUUAACUACAACGCAUGCAUGCAUGCCAUGACUCCCCUUUUGAUACUUGCAUGUGUUGAUUUAAUGCACCUUGAAGUAGUACUCCCUCAGAUUCCUUUUACUUUGCGUAUAACUUUUUCUUGUUUUUCUCAGAUUAGUCUGCGCGUCCGCAUUGGUUUCCAUCUGUGCCACCGCUCGAUUAGUUAUGCACCCAUUAAUCGCGCCAGUUUCCAAAGAGGAAAAUGGCUACAUGCAAAUGCAUGCAGCGCCGGAUGCGGCUUGACCGCCUGGGGAAGCCAACUCAAGCGAAAAGGAAGGAGGACCAGCCAACCAUUGCAUGCGCAUUUACUGUCGAUAUUUAUGCAGCUUACUCAUGCGCAGGGGCAAAUUUGUCCAGAAAACUCAAACUACUGCCUUCCUUGGUAUGCAGGAGGACAGUUAUGCGCAGAGUAUAAAAUAUGUGACGGUAAACCUUUGUAAUGCCCCGGCCCAAGCGAGAGAUGGUUGCGCACGAGGAGGGCGAGAUCAUGCAGACAUAAUAGGAACCGACGAGGCAGCUCACUAAGGUCUCCAUGGACCUCACUGUGCUCCACUGCACCUUGUGCCUCCGCCCCUUGACGCCUCGAGUGUAUGAGGUUCUAAUACACCUCGUCCGUUCGGCUGAUUGAGCAAGGUGCAGGUUUCUUGAUUGAUGUGUCGUUCAUUGAUUUCUCCAGUGCAAGGGAGGGCACCUGGCCUGCGCGGACUGCCACAUCGAGCGCCCGGGAACCAGCGGCAGUGCCAGAAGUGCGAGCACGACGGUGGCUUUGACGUGCGCAGCACGGUGGUGGAAGCCGUCGUUUCGUCGCUGAGGGUGGUGUGCCCGCAUCAAGGCUGUGGGUUCUACGUCAUUUACCACAAGCUCGCCGAUCACCAGAGCGUGUGUCCGCUUGCGCCCUGCAAAUGCCCCAUGCCCGUCUGCGGCUACAAAGGCCCGUCGCCGGCGCUCUACCACCACAUCAGCAAUGCGCAUCCCAUGCCCGUGCACAGGAUCCAGUACGGCAAGGUGCUCCAGCUUCAAGUGCCACUGUCGGAGCCACGGCUCUUGCUGUUCACGGAGGAGGACGGUCGCGCGUUUUUCUUGGUCAGCAGCGUGCUCGACAUCGGCGCGCCUAUCACCGUGUCAGUGGUCUGCAUCAGAGUGGGGGCGUCCCCACUGUCACACUACGUGGCCAAGCUGUGGGCGAACGGCCCGCCGGGGGAGCCCAAAGGCAUGACCGACGCCGUCAAGGUGGAAAUGGAGGUGACAAAAAGCAAGGAUCCCGGCGACGUCGACGUGCAAGAGUUGAGCUUCUUGAUAGUUCCGCCCAAGCUGCUGGCCGGGGCUAAGCUGGUGUCCCUCCACAUUCAGAUUGACAAGCUCACGUCCUAAAUGUUUCUACAGUACCUUCUGUUUAUCUUAGUAAUAUGCUAGUAUAGGGAUUACCUCGGUCUACUUUAGCUUAAGAAAUGGUGGGUUUUGAUGGCGAUGCAGCAAUUACUUCGACAUCAGAUCAGUAAUUUCUAACAGUCAAACGGAUAUUUUGUGUCUGUUGGAUAUAAAGUUCCUUUGGGUAAGAAGUACUAGAUAAAAGGAGAUGUAUGUAGACGUAUUUUAGUUUUAGAUACGUCCCUUUUUAUCCAUUUUGAUGACAAGCACUCCCUCUGUUCCACAAUACAUGCCUUCCAUUUGUCAAAAUAUAGAUAUAUCUAGACAUGUUUUAGUAUAUAGGUACAUCCAUGAUAGAGCCAGUCGGAUGGUUGAGAACACUACAAUUCGUAGCUACAGAUGCGUGUGUGACUCCCAGAUGCAGAAGCCAGGGGUCAUCAUCCUCCUUUUCGAUAAAAAACAGACGCAUGUGUGAGAGGACGAGUGCGUGCGUGCACCUCUUCUCUUCCUGUAUAACGUACUAAACUCAGAGUACAAGUUUUUGUGGGUGGCACGAUGGUGCGUGCGUGAAGUCCCGAGAGAUAGGUUUAAUGCGUCUAAAAAAAGACUAGCCUAUAGCUCGCCAUGCGGCUAUUCCUGUCGAACGCCCCAUUAACCGUAAGAUAUGUAUACGACGGUGCAAGUUAUUGUACGUACACAGUAGAAAAGUACACCACGCUAAGAACACGUGCCCACGUAACGCCAUCCGGGAAUAGUGCCGCACUUCGAAACUAGAACCGUCAAAAAAAAUUGAGCUUGCGUCUCGUCACAUUCCAAAUUACUCCACGCUAUAUUGAAUUGCAAACCUAUUCACACCGAUCACAACCUAAACGGUUUCCCACUUAGGAGUGUAUUAGCACUCGGUUAUAAAUACUAAUAUGCCAGGAUGACUGCACAUUCCUCCUCAACUCCUCAUCCACAAAAACAAACAAGUCAUUCAGCAUGCUUCCCUUGCGUCUGCCAUGGCCAGCGUGAGUUCUGGGUCGAGAGAUUGCCACCAGGGAGAGGCGAGUAUGGAUGCGGAAGCACGAGAGAUGUCCCGCCUCGCUACAAAAGCAGCCGACAUGUCCCGCCGCGCAGAAGUAGCAGCACAGAGGUCCCACCGCGCCGCUGAAGCAGCACGGAGGUCCCGCCGCACCGUCGAUGCAGCAGACUGGUCCGGCCAUGCCGCGGAAGCAGCAGAGAUGUCCUGCCGUGCCGCGAAUGCGGUAGAGAUGUCCUGCCGCGCUGCGGCAGCCUGGGAAAAUUUCUCGCAGGCAGGUGACGACUGUUACAGGCGCAUGCAUGCGAUCAUCCAUAGCCAGAUGGAUCAGAUCUCCGGCUAGGCGAGGUUGCAGGAUGACAUGAAAGCCUCGUUUGAACAGGCUACCAGCGUCAUCCGGCAACUAAGGGAGGGCAAUGAGAGGCUCCGGGCCGAGCGCGACCUGCUGAGGGCGAAGAUCGUCCAAAGUGCAGACCAUCAGGAGUAGACCAGUGCCUUGUUGAAGAGGAUCGGCGUCAUCGUCAAGAAACUUAUGGACGAGAAUGACAUGCUCCGCAUCGAGUGCCAAAGGCUGGUGGAGGAAUCCGUGGAUGUUGUCAAGCAGCGUCUUGAGGACACGAAAGAGCUCAUCGCCGCUCGCCGCGGAGACUAGUUCCCGCGGCCUGCAGUAACGCAUCAAGAAAGUAGAGAUCAGUGAGCUAGAUCCUUGUCUUCCUUCUUCUUUUGCCGCAUGUGGCUUUUUUAAUUAUCUUUCUAAUUAUGUAAGACAAUUAAUCGUCCUUAUAUAUUCAUCAGUCUUGCUAUAAGUCGCAGUAGAUGCUAUAUAGGUCCGUCGGAUCUUACAUCAAGAUCCGUGCUUUCAGAUUUUCUUUUUUCUCUCUUAAAUCUCAGUCGAGUGAGACAUAGCCAUGCUAUUAAACAGAGGCUUGGGCGCCAUUAAUGGAGACCUUGGGAGAGAGGUAGACGGUAGAUGGAGGUCAAAGGGCUCUCCUCCCGAUAAGCACGCGCAGGGGUCUGAUCGCACGCCUCUCGUACUCAAAUAGCUACCUUGCACGGCGCCUCCUAGCUAAUAAAAAAUGGGGACGCGUGGCGGCACGUAAAUGGUAGUAAAUAGAAUGCCCAUGGUUUCAAUAAUACUUGUGUUUCCGAUUGUAACGUGACAACACUUGUUCCAAAAUGACUUUGUUGAUUGUUAAUGUGUGUGCCUUCGCAAAUCGGACAUGGUACCAAGCCAAGUUUCAUUAUUUUCAUGUGUGUUUUGGAUUUACAGGAAUUAAAAAACUAAGUUUCUCAAUGUUUCCAGCCCAGCCAUGAUGCUCAGAAUUUUGAAUUUCAUUCCCAUUUCUUGCAUGGAAUCUAGAAAUUUACCCGAGGACACACAUGUGAUUUUUCAACCAACUUUGGUGCAUUGGAACAUGUACUUGUAUUUCAAAUUUGAAUUAUGCACACAAAGGUGACACGUUCCCUCUCGGAACCACGAGCCUUCUUGAGAGAAGCUCCAAUUUGCAAGAAGCUUAUACCCAAAUUUGUUCCUAUUCGGCCAAUUCUUUUUACAACCGCAUGGUACUACCAUGACAUGACACCAUGCCAAGUAUCAUGAUUUUAAAACCAAGUUUCUCAAUGUUCUCGACCGAGCCACGAUGCCCAAAUGUUUGAAUUUUAUUCUCAUUUUUUGCAUGGGACCUAGAAAUUCACUCGAGGACACAUAUGUGAUUUUUCAACCAACUUUGGUGCACGGGAGCAUGUGCUUGUAGUUCAAAUUUGAAUUAUGCACAUUAAAUGAACAAAAACUCAAUUAAUGUGUAAAAAAGGCCAAACGAAGCUGGAAUGAUUUCCAAAAUUUAACAGGGCACUCAUGUAGUUCUAUGUUGCCUUUGUAAAUAAACUCAAGGGGGACAACGUAUAUCGUUUCGCACUCAAAGGUGGCACGUUCCCUCUCAGAAUCACGAGCCUUCUUGAGAGAAGCUUCAGUUUGCAAGAAGCUUAUACCAAAAUAGGUUCCUAUUCGGCCAAUUCUUUUACCACAGCAUGGUAGCACCAUGACAUGACACCCAUGCCAAGUUUCAUGAUUUUCAGACGUGUUUUGGAUUUACAAGAAUUUAAAAACCAAGUUUCUCAAUGUUCUCGGCCGAGCCACGAUGCCCAGAUGUUUGAAUUUUAUUCUCAUUUCUUGCAUGUGACCUAGAAAUUCACCCGAGGACACAAAUGUGAUUUUUCAACCAACUUUGGUGCACGAGAGCAUGUGCUUGUAGUUCAAAUUUGACUUAUGCAUAUGAAAUGACCAGAAACUCAAUUAAUAUAUAAAAAACGACAAACGAACCCGGAAUAAUUCCAAAAUUUAAUAGGGCACUCAUGUAGUUCUAUGUUGCCUUUGUUAAGAAACUCAAGGGUGGGGGGCAGCGUAUAUCGUUUCACACUCAAAGGUGGCACGUUCCCUCUUAGAACCACGAGCUUCCAAAUCAGCCCAAUUUUUUACCACAACAUGUUUGUGCCAUGACAUGACACCAUGCCAAGUUUCUUGAUUUCCAGACGAGUUUUGGAUUUACAUGAAUUUAAAAUCUAAGUUUCUCGAUGUUCUCGGUCGAGUCACGACGCCCAGAUGUUCGAAUUUCAUUCUCAUUUCUUCCAUGGGACCUAGAAAUUCAACCAAGGACACACAUGUGAUUUUUCAACCAACUUUGGUGCACCAGAGCAUGUGCAUGCAGUUCAUAUUUAGAUUAUGCACUUUAAAAGUCCAGAAACUCAAUUAAUGUAUAAAAAGGCCAAACGAACCCGAAAUAAUUCCAAAAUUUAACAGGGCGCUCAUAUAGUUCUAUGUUGCCUCUAUAAAGAAAAUCAGGGGGGAGGCAGCGUAUAUCGUUUCGCACACAAAUGUGACAUGUUCCCUCUAUGAACCACAAGGCUUGUUGAGAGAAUCUCCGGUUUUGCCAGAAGCUUAUACUAAAACUUGUCCCAAUUCAGCCAAAAAUUAUACAUAUGAAAACAGGGUUUAGAUUAUCCCGAACAUCUCGCUACCUAGACCAAUAAUGUACUAUGAUUUGAAUUCAACAUAAAAUGGAUACAAAUAUUUGAAUUGGAGAGCGUAUGGUACAUGUAGUUCAUAGUGAAAUAUGAUUACUGCUAUAUGCAUGUUUUUUGUUAUCAAGAUAAUAUUUAAAUUAUUGUAUAACUUGACAACAAUCAUAUUCAGAUAAGGAAAACUGAUUCAAAUUUAGUCCAUAUGGUAGACGACAAUAUAUAUGUUCACAUGGUGGAGUAAAAUGUUCAUAGAUGAUGGAAGAUCAAAAUGUACGACUACAUCAAUUAUAAACCGUAAGGUCACCUAACGAUAUAUUCGAAUUCAACAUAACGUGGAUUCAAAAAUUGAAAUUCGAGAUCGUGGCAUCUGUAAUCAUAUAAAAAGGGACAUUACUCUUUCUUUGGUGGGAAUUGAUUUCUUUUUUGUUGUUGUUGAGGGAAGUGCGAAUCGAUUUGGUACUGUGCAGGGUAAUCUUGUUCUUCCGAUUUUUUUUACAUUUUUCUUGUAGUUUUUUCAAUGGCAUCUAUAGCAAUAUAGUAAAAGGGGACCUGGCUCUCUUGUGUCUUGUAUGAAUUGUUUUUUUUCACGUUAAGUUUGUCCUGCCGAACAAGGAAUCCGCACCUUGUUAUCCCGAAAUUUUCAAGCUCGAGUAUCUUUUGUCUCACCUGCUUUGAAACUCCCGCUUCUUCAACCCACGCCGCGCCUUGUUAUCCCGAAAUUUGGACGCGUGCAAGAACUCCCUCCUCAUCCGAAAUCGCUCCUACAGCCCAGACACGCGAAAUCCCCCUUCUACCCCUCAGCCGGAAUGAAGCUCCACGUCGCGGUGUCAAAACCGGUGGGGGUACGCUGGUAACUUACCCUACAUUUCGGACAAGCGCGUCCCCAAGCUUGGCUCCCCCCUCCCCCUUCGCCCCCUCCCCCAUUCAUACACCGAGGCUGUCAAAACCCGCGAAACCCCACGCUCCUCCGUCGGCCUCCCGACCGCCGCCCAGCCGGAGACCCUUCCCCGACUACGUCGUCCACCACAACAGCUCGCCAUCCCUCAUCCACCGCACCGGAUGAGGAUCCGUUGUCCAUCUCGUCGUCCCGCCGGAUCAGCCACCCUGUCCUCCACCUCCAAGCAGCUGCCCUGAUGUUCACCUCGUCUAUCGCGCCACCUUAAUCCCCACUGCGCCAUCUUGACCUGCCCCACCGGAACCGUAGCACCCUCACCAAUUCCUCCGAUGAAGCCGAGGCCAACUCGGUGCCACCAAGGAGGUUCUGCACUCACCGCUGCAUUUUAUCUUUUAUUCGAUCUCACGGGGCUGCCGGUGCUCGAUACCGAGCAGACAUGGCGGGUCUCCAUCGACGGCGUCAUCGCCGGCCACAUCAUCCACAGCGUCUCUCUCCCGUGCAGUUCCUUCCUCGGUGGCGACUUCCACAACGGCAUUAGCUACAGCUUCUCCGGCUCUCGCUCGCGCUGCGGCUCUGUUCUUGCUGUCGGUCGCGCUGCUGCACUGCACCUUCUUUCGUUCGUGCUGCUGCUCUGCUCUUGCUCUCGCUUGCGCUGCUGCUGCUGCUGCACGACCUCCGAAAGCUACAGGAGUUGCUGCCUUAGCACUCGCUCGCGGUGCUACUGCAUGACUUGCUCUCUGCUAGUGCGUUUCCUACUCGAGCAUCUGCUGAUUUAGAUCACUGCUUCUCUGCUACUAGUGCUCGAACGCCCGAAACAUCUAUUGCAAUGCUCUGUUACUAGUUCAAUCAGUUUCGACAGUAAAAUUCAGUUUUGACUAUGAAGUUCAUUUUCUUCAGUUAAGUUCAGAAUGAACAAUACUUACAACAUCUGUCAGAGCGGUCGUGGCGCGGCUGAUGCGUUUUACAUCUAGCCCUUUUUGGUGAUGUAUUUUACCUCAUCUGUUGCACAUGAUAUUAGGGUCCCACUUCAGAUUAACGUUGUCUGUCUUGUCAUGCUUCAGCCUCAUCGCCGUACACCUUAGCGGAGCUGCUCCAACGACGGAACCGUCCAUCACAGCGGAGCAGUACCCUCGGCGCAGUUUCCAGAGGCCUCGGAUCUUCUUCCCCGCCUCCAACAGUCACACCAGCAUCAUCACCAUCCUCCACGUCCAACCCAAUGAUGCUGAUGUCCACAAGGCUAUGCCAAAGAGGUUGUACACUCAUCGCAUCACUUUGUUUCUCCAUUCCUCUGUUCUUCCAAUUCAUGUGAGCCAAACACCCAGGUUGACUGAAAUCCUAUGUUUCCAAAUGCUCUGUUUUGCACGUGCAUUCCUAUCCUAUUCCUAUGUUUUUCCUGUCCCUGCGUUUAUAGAAUCCUCCAAUUCUAAGGAGCCCUUACAGAUUUACUUCAUUUUCAGAUAGGCAUCAAAGAAAACUCUGUGUGUUAUGUCCUGCUCCUGCCGUGCCGUCAUCCACCCCACCUGAGGUGCACCAUCGACAGAAGCGUUCACUGCAGCAUAGAUCCCCCCCUACAGACUUUCUUUUUCCGCCUCAGAUCAUCUUCCCCGUUGCCGGCCGCCACGCCAACUGCAUUACCAUCCAUCGACUAAGCAGAUGAACCUGAGGACUACACAGUUCCGGAAGCAAGGUCGUAGUCUUUCGUGUUUGCUUAUGUUAUACAUCGGUUAUUAUUACCUGCUACUUUAUCGUUCAAUCUUGAGUUUUGAAUUGCCCAUGGGUCUCAUAUUGAGCCAGCAACGAAUACUAUCUGUCUAUUAUCUGGUUAAUCUGGGGUCUUCUAUGUGGUUCAUGUCGGGUGGGCAACAAACAAUAGAUGAUCCAUUGUCUUUCUUUUGAAACUGAAGCUAUAAUCUACCUGCUAUCAUUAGUUUUGGAUCCAUCCACUCGUUUGCUACCAUUAGUCUUGAUUUUUGCACGCACCCCUUAGGCCUUACAAAAUCUAACUAUUUUUUUAUUAUGCAUGUCAGAUAUUGUACACAAUCGUACUGAACAUGUACAGAGAAAGAGAAGACCGUUGCGUGCGAAUAUAAUGUCAUGCAGACGCCGCUCCAUGGUGGGCGAUGUGCUCCCCCCUCCUGCAUUUCCAGAUUGUAUUCCAGAGGAAGAUAACUGUUCAGAUGGAGAUUCAGAAGGAGCCGACCACACCUGUUUACCACCUGAGGUGUUUUCUCUAACCUGGCAUGCUGAUGUUGGUCAUAUCAUGCAUAUGGCGCCUUGCAUUGCUUACAUUAUACAUCUUAUAUGUCAUCAACUUAGUUUAGAUUUGCUUUGUGUGAAUGCCACCUGUUUGGUUUCUAUAUCAUACUCCCACCUUUCCUAAAUAUUUGUCUUUUUAGAGAUUUCAACAAGUGACUACAUACGGAACAAAAUGAGUGAAUCUACACUCUAAAAUAUGUCUAUAUACAUCCGUAUGUGGUAGUCCCUUUGAAAUCUCUAAAAAGAUAAAUAUUUAGGAACGGAGGGAGUGUAUGGGAAUUAUGCAAUGCCAUCUUCUUUAGCCAGGCAUCAUAUACGUGAAUCAUGCAAUGCCAUCCUGUUUAGCCAGUCAUUGUAUAUGUGAAUUGUAUCGUGCCAUAUUUUCUUCCAUAAUGUAUUCCAUUUGUCAACAAUGUUUAUACAUUCAUCUACUCUUCAUGUGCAUCAGCUAUUUGAGUCGGUCAUGGGAAAAUCUGGAGUGAAAACAAAGUCUUCUGAGCAGUCAGUGCUACCUGUCGAUGCAGAUUUCUUGCUGGUUACAGAUAGCUCCUCAUAGGAGGAUUCAGAGAGAGAUGACCAGUCGUAUCCCCCCCAGGUGCAUGCUCUAACUUGGUUGGGUUAUAUUGCUCAUAUCAUGCAUAUGGUGUCUUGCAUUGCCAUGCCAUCUGCUUAGAUUAGACAUGCUUUGUGUGAAUGCCUCCUAUUUGCUUUCUAUAUCAGAUAUGUGAAUUAUGCAAUGCCAUGUUUUUCAGCCAGUUAUCAUAUAUGUGAAUUAUGCACCGCCAUGGAGCCAGGCAUCAUAUAUGUGAAUUAUCUCAUGCCAUAUUUUUUUCAUUACGUAUUCCAUUUGUCGACAAUCUGUGUAUAUUGAACUACUCUUCAUGUAUAUCAGCCAUUUGAGCCGGUUAUGGAAAAAUUUGGAGUGAAAACAAGGUCUUGAGAGCAGGCAAUGGUACUUGUUGAAGCAUAUAUCUCAAUGGUUACAGGGAGCUCCUCAUAGGAGGAUUCAGAGACAGAUGACCAAUCCUAUAUCCCACCUGAGGCGUAUUCUCUAAGUUGCAAUGUUUAUAUUUCUCAUAUGAUGCAUACGGUGUCUUGCAUUGCUUAGUUUAGACAUCAUAUGCACAAUAUUGAAUUCUAUCUGCUUAGUUUAGAGAUCAUACAUGCGAGUGCCAGCUGCUUAGUAUAUGAAUCAAUUAUGUCAAUUAUAUCAUGCCAUCAUGUAUACUUAGACAACAUGUAUGUGAAUUAUUUCAUCCCAACCUAUUUUAGAAAGACAUCAUAUAGUUUUGUCAUGUUAUCCUAUUUAGGUACUCAUCAUAUGUUGAAUUAUGCCAUUAUAUCCUGUUAAGUUAUCCAUCAUAUAUCUGGAACUGUGUCAUGCUAUCCUGUUUAGUUAGGCAUCAUAUAUGUGAAAUUAUGUCAUGCUGUCCGAUUUGGUUAGACAACAUAUAUGUGAAUUACCACAUCUGUCUAUCAUACAAUGUCUGUACGUUCAAUUUCUUUUCUCGUUUAUCAGCCAUUUGAAUUGGAGGGGGUGAUGGCAGUAUCUAAGGGAGCAAAAACCCGUUCUUCACAAAAGACAGGGCUACCCGUCGACGCAGAUAGAACCAUGGUUGUACUGGCCCACAAACUAGCCCCACCACACAUAAUCGAGACUCUUCCAGAUUGCACACUUACACCGUUGGGCAGAGAACCAGCUACAACCCAUCUAACCGCAACCCCAGCGGAUAGUAACCCACUUAUAGUUGACAAAGCACCAUGUCCACCACAGAGUACCCCCACACGAGCAGUUUGUAAAGCUACUGUAGUGCCCAAAGCACAAAGACCACCACAGCUAACCCAAACUCCAUGUUUAAAGCAGAAGAGCAACUGUUCUCAUGUCAGCUUCCAUAGCUAUGGUCCAUACUCCUUUGCUGUUGCAUCACUGUAUUUACUCAUACCAACUACUUUCCAAUUUGAAGGAUCCAAUUGAAACUCCAAUGGCGCAACAGGUAUGUUUUAAACCUAUUUCUUUAACUGGAUUGUUGUUCUAACUUCUUUCUCUAUGUUGAUUUCAGUUUAAGUUCUAUCAACAGUUAUGUUCUCAUGUGAUGCACAUUAAAAGUGUUGCCAAUGUUGUGUAGUUUCUCACACUUAUAUUCUGUCUAUGCUGUUGUGUCUUAAAAAUAUAUGAGUUGAAUUGUGUCUCUAUCUUGAUUAAGGAAACAUAAACUAGAAUUAUAUGGACAAUACAGUGACCAUAGUACAUAGAUAUAUGCUUGUUUCAUGAUGUUAUCCUGUCCACCUUACUACUGAACCGGUUUACCAAAAUGAGUUUCGUAUACUACAAGCUAAACCGGUGAUGUGUCUGCUUGUUUCUCUUGUAGUAUGCAAACAUAAUAUUGGAGAAGAGCAACCCACUACGCAAUGGUAGAGAAAGUAAUGCAGAUAAGGUUCAAGAUAGUGAGACAACCAUGUUGGUCUCCAAGAAAGGUGAUAAAAACGAUCUUGUAGGUAGUGAGAAAAUCCCACAGUCCUGCGUUGAUGUAGUGUUCGAGUUACUGGCCAGUACCGCUGGCACAAGCUCUUCGAACUCGCUGCCUGAAUCACUUCGGCUUCUUCAGUCUCAGCUACAAGCUGAAAGGCAUUAGUCAGCUGUGCUGCGGCAAGAAGCCGAAGGACUGAGGAAGUCCCUGCAGAAUUCAGAUGCGUACUUUCUUGUGCAACAGCAAGCACUGGAGGAUUUAAGCGCCAAACAAGAGAAAGUUAAUAAGCUUGCUAAGCAUCUUGCCAGCAUUAUGGGUACCCAGGAUAUUGUUUUUUGAACUCUUUUGAAGUGGUUUCAGUUCUGGACUUAUUUUACUGCGGCGUUUAUAUGCUGCUUUGUUCCCUAUAUUUGCACUGGUGGCGAACUUUGAUGCCCAGUGGAUGUAAUAUGUGUAAUAGCCGUGAUAGCCUAGCAUAAGUUGCUUGCUUAUUUAUUUCCUUGUUGUCUUGUUUAUUUGUUUGCUUGUAGUCAGUGCAGUUAUUUUUUCGCGGUUUGCUAGUGGCUGCAAUAACCUAUUUUUUAAAACUAGGCCACAAUAACCAUGGGCUAAUAUUUACUAUAGUGACACUGGGCCUCCUACGGGCCGUAGAAACAGUGGGCCUUCUACGACCGUAGAAACAGUAGGCCUUCUACGGGCCGUAGAAACAAUGGGCCUUCUAUGGAUCAUAGAAACAAUGGGCCUUCUACAAGCCGUAUCAUCAAUGGGCCUUAUACAGGCCGUAUGAUUGAUUGGCCAAGCAUGGGCCAAUAACAGGCCGCAUUAUGGCCGUAAACGGGCUAGAGUUGGAAUCGUCCGUUCAUGGGCUGACCAUACGGGCCAUAGUUAAUAGGCCAUAUUUGAUGAUGCUAUGAAAAUGGCCCAAUGUAUUAACGGACCACAAACGGGCCGACUGUAACCACAGGCUGAAUUUGGCCCACAAGGAGAAAAUGACAGUAACGGGCCGUAAGUAAACGAAUGCUGGAAAUGAGCCCAAGAAUAAAUGGGCUCUGAGAAGGCCAAAAGAUAACAUGGGCUGGAAACGGGCCAACGGAAUAACGGGUGGUUAAUGGGUAUAAAGUGAUACACUGUUCAUUACGGGCCAGUUUCACCACGGGUCGUUAAUGGGUGUAAAGUGAUACACUGUUCAUUACAGGCCAGUUUAACCACGGGCCGUUAAUAGGCCAAGAGUUACAUAGGGCCUCAUAUGGGCCGAAAGACGUCAUGGGCCAUACAUGGGCCAGAAGUGAAAACGGUCUGGAAUCAUAUUGGAUGGCCGAGAUGACACUACUGGGCCUAAUUCGGAUAGGGCAUAACGGGCCUUGGGUUAGCGGGCUGUAAAUGGGCUAUAUGCGAACAUGCCGUUAACAGGCUUUACAUGGGCCGGCCCGCCAUCUUUUGACCAAGUCAAAUGGGUCGGCCUUUUCACAGGAAUGGGCCUCUGUUGGGUCGUGCCACGUGUCGACGUAUCAUAGGCACCUUCUGUCCAAUGAGUGGAUGACAUCUGUCCCAACGAUGAGCCGACACGUGUUUUCUCCAGCCAAUGAUGAUUUUACACGUGAAAAAUCUCCAUUGGUCGGGGCUGUUAAUGGGUUAUCGAAUCCAAAACCCGACCCGAUAGCUUAACGGUGUUCCGUUACGGUGGAUGCCACGUGUCGGUCACCCUUGAUGAAAGCCCUUCUGUGACGUGCGAUUUAUCGUCAUGGAAGAGGACACUUUCGUGAUGAUAAUUUUGAUAAUCUCAUGAAACACUUCUACGACAGCACAAGUAUGACUAUCUUGAUUCUGUCAUAAAUUUGUCAUGAAUGUACAUGCAUGACAGAAAAUGCGACCUACUGUGACAAACACGUAUCAUCACGGAAGUGUAUUUUUUUGUAGUGGAAAUUAUAGGUGAUAGAUAGUUUUAUGAUAAGAUAAAUAGUAACGAGUAACAAGUAAACAAGUAAAUAAGGUGCAACAAGGUGGCCCAAUCCUUUAUGUAGCAAAGGAUAAGCCUGGACAAUUUCUAAUAAUAAUAAAGGAGCUCCCGAGGACACAUUGGGAAUUAUCGUCAAGCUAGUUUUCAUCACGCUCAUAUGAUUCGCGUUCAGUACUUUGAUAAUUUGAUAUGUGGGUGGACCGGUGCUUGGGUACUGCCCUUACUUGGACAAGAAUCCCACUUAUGAUUAACCCCUAUUGCAAGCAUCCGCAACUACAACAAAAGUAUUAAGGUAAACCUAACCAUAGCAUGAAACAUGUGGAUCCAAAUCAGCCCCUAAUGAAGCAAUGCAUAAACUAGGGUUUGAGCUUCUAUCACUCUAGCAACCCAUCAUCUACUUAUUACUUCCCUAUGCCCUCCUCUAGGCCCAAUAAUGGUGAAGUGUCAUGUAGUCUACGUUCACAUGACACCACUAGAGGAGAAGACAACAUACAUCUCAUCAAAAUAUUGAACGAAUACCAAAUUCACAUGACUACUAAUAGCAAGACUUCACCCAUGUCCUCAGGAACUAAAGUAACUACUCACAAAGCAUAUUCAUGUUCAUAUUCAGAGGUGUAAUAAUAUGCAUUAAGGAUCUGAACAUAUGAUCUUCCACCAAGUAAACCAAUAAGUAUCAACUACAAGGAGUAAUCAACACUACUAGCAACCCACAGGUACCAAUUUGUGGUUUUGGAUACAAGAUUGGAUACAAGAGAUGAACUAGGGUUUGAGAGGAGAGGGUGCUGGUGAAGAUGUUGAUGGAGAUUGACCCCCUCCCGAUGAGAGGAUCGUUGGUGAUGACGUUGGUGAUGAUUUCCCCCUCCCGGAGGGAAGUGUCCCCGGGAGAACAGCUCUGCUAGAGCCAUAGAUUGCUUCCGCCAAGGUUCCGCCUCGUGGCGGCGGAGUUUCGUCCCGUAAGCUUGCCCCCGAUUUUUUCCAGGGUAAAAGUGAUGAUAUAGCAGAAGAUGGACGCCGGAGGCCCACCAGGGGGGCCAGGAGAUAGGGGGCGCCCCCCUGUCUCCUGGACAGGGUGUGGGCCCCCUGGCCUAUUUCUUUCGCUCAGAAAUUCUUAUUAAUUCCAGAAAGUUGUUUCGUGGAGUUUCAGGACUUUUGGAGUUGUGCAUAAUAGGUUUCCAACGUUUCCUUCUUUUUCAGCCAGAAUUCCACCUGCCGGCAUCCCUCCUCUUCAUGGUAAACCUUGUGAAAUAAGAGAGAAUAGCCAUAAGUAUUGAGAUAUAAUGUGUAAUAACAGCCCAUAAUGCAAUAAAUAUUGAUAUAAAAGCAUGAUGCCAAAUGUACAUAUCAACGCGCGGCGCCUCCGCCUAUAUAAGCCGCCCCCAGCGCACCGGUGACGCACAAACACUCCAUCGCCGACGCCCGUUCCUUCCCGUUCCCCCUCUCCUCUCACCGUCUCCAGUUCAACCAGGGUCGAGCAUUUCCCAGGCGAUGGUGCGGCGCCGAAUGGCUUCGGUCGCCGCCACCUUCACGAGGACGAAGCUCGGCUCCUCUCUGAGGCUGAGUACCCGGUCCCGCCGGACAUGCGGGUGCCCGGGGUGUGAAGGAUCAGCGCCGGUGGGGUCCCGGUGCCACCAUCGCCCACCGGGGUGGCGCGGCGUGCGGAGAUCGCGCGUAUCCGCGCCUCUCUGCCACAGGCGGCGAGGGAAGGUCCACGGUACGUCCCCGACACCCCGCUGUGGGAGCCCUACUUCCGUCGCCGCCACGCCGAGCAGCUCGAGGCCACCAACGGCGCCGUGCCCUCCGGGAGGCUCAACUCUGAAAGCCGCCGCCGAUGGUGGGGCGUGCCCGGCCGCAUGCUGGAGGCCAUCCUCGAGCACAUCAAGGGCGGCAACACGCCCAGGCUGGAGUACCCCACUCCACCGUCCUUCUCCCACCGGCGUGGGAGCUCGUGGACGCCGAGGCACAUGGACCCGGGGGCGUCGUCCUCCUCGUCCGGCCGCUCGACCGGCUCUCCCUGUCUCUGCCCCGUCAAGCCGGAACCCCAGGACAUGCCGGUCAGCCACCGCACCCGCAGCUCCAGCGUCCGCAUCGCCGACUCCCCCCUCCCCCCCACCUCUGGACACCUCGUCCUCGUCAAGCCGAAGGCGGAGCCCGUCCUCCCCACGGAGUACGAGGCCAUAGCCCGACGCGGCUUCUCUGACGAGGAGGCCCUAAAGUGGGCGCGGGACGACUACCUCCGCGACGAGAUGGUCCGGCAGCGCCGAGCCCUGGAGGAGAUAGCCACCGCAGGCGUGGGCGCGAGGACGAGCACGGCAUGGUGAUCCUCGACAGCGACGAGGACGAGGACGCCCCCGGACCGUCCAACCCGCCGUGCCAACCUGGGGAGGGGUACAACAGGGACGGCGGCCGCAGAGGAGGCGGCGACGACCACGACGACGGCGGCGACGGCGACUACACACAGUUCUACGGGCUCCUCGGCAUGUAGAGCUUCAAGGGCGGCGGGUGGCGAGGAGCGGCGAGGGCGAUGGCGGGCCUAGUAGUGUUUUUUUUCUAUAAAAUAUUUUAAAUAUGUAUGAACUCACCGAAGUUUGGUUGAAUUUAGCCGUGUUUAACCAAACAUCGCCCAACGUUUUCUUUUUUUUUAAACAAUUAGACGCACCUGGGGGCGGCCUUGGGGCCGGCGACUAGGGACCAACUCGCCUCCUGGCCGGUUUUUUGCGCCGGCUCGCCCCCAGGCUGCGAUUUUAGGCACCUCCUGGGGGGCCAAUGGCUCGAGAUGCUCUGAGUACUAUUGCCUUCCCGGACCCUGGCCGUCAUGAGCCCUGCUGGGAGAGCGUCCGUCGGACACUUUUGACUACUGGACUUGACCCGAUGGAGAGGUGGUCUUGCCUACUAGGCUUCUCCGCCACUGCUGCCGCCGUGAUGAGGGCCAGGCGCCACCUCCGCGGAGCGGCAUCCUAGCGUGCCGCCGGGCCAAGCAGAGCGGGAGCGGGCGCGACAAUGACGGCCACGCCCAUCAGCACCAUUUUCGUCUUCAUCGUCCCUCGAUCGUGGCCUGGGCUGCGCGACGACGGCCGCCGAGCGGCGCGUGCCAGUCCCAGCCUUGCCAUCCUCCGUGCCCUUGGCCCAACAGAACUGGUCGUCGAGAGGCCAGUCUUGGGGGGCGCCAGGGGAAUGAUCUUCGAGCAGCGAGUAGUCCCUAGUGCGGUUCAGAUGAAUCAGCAUCGGGAACUGGGGGCCACAAAUGCCCUCCUCCUCACGUGGAUAGCCCUCCGGCAGUGUCGGCCUUCCGCGCACUUGACGGGCGAUCGAUGAUGGAGUAGCCGUUCGCCGUGGGUAUGUCGUCCGGGGACCAACGCCAACCCCACGGGUAGACGCAUGACGUGUUGGAGAGCGAUGUGGACUGGCGCUCGAGGCGGUAAACCUAGCAGGAGCGGCUGAUGGCAUCUUGUACCGCCUCCCUGGUCCAGGCCUGCACCGGGAUCCCCUCCACGGCCAGGCGGCAGUAGAACCUCCACGCGCGCUAGUGGCCGUGGGCACCCGGCGACCAUGGCGCCAGCGAGAGGGCCACCCCGCGACAGGUCGCGACACCGGCAUCGAUAGCGACGUCCCGGUGGUGAGCGUGCGCGAAACGCACUAGGAAAUCCUCAGGGAAAUGCUUGGAGACGUGCAUUUCCUCCCAAGGGAUGUUGAGGUCGCACUCUAGGGCCUUGGCGACGAGCUGAGGGUUGAUGUCUCGACGCGGCUCGGACAUGGUCACCAGGACGGUCGAGGCACGCAGGUGCCGCGUAGAGUCCUCCAUCGCCAGGUCACCAGGCUCUCAAUUUUAGCUCGAAGAUCCUGAGUUUAUUCCUAGUGUCCCCUCCACUUGGUAGUCAUUGUUUAUGCCGGUUCACAAUUACUACCUCCGUCCUGGUUUAUUGGUCCAUUUCGCAUUUUAUGCUAAAUUAUUUACUUUAGAUAUUAAUGCAUGUAACAAAAAAAUAUCAUCGAAAACUAUGUUCAAACACGUAUCCAUCGAUAUAAUUUUUGAUGGCAUGAAUUGUUACUUUCUUAGUCAAAUCUAUGGUUAAAGUUUGGCACAAAAUACUAAGAGGGCCAAUAAACCCAUGACGGAGGUAGUACAUGGUUGUCUAUUGUGUGGGAUCUUGUUAAGUAAUGGAGUCUUAAGAGAUUUGGGAAUAUCUAGUGAUGUUUGUUAGCUAUGUAGUCUUUUCUUUUUGGCUUCUGUAUACCGUAUCUAUAAUCUCUAGUGUCGUUUUUCAGCGUUUCAUAACUAUACACGUCUAGCUAGAAUCUUUUGCAAUCGAUUAAUAGCUCGUUCUAGCUAUUUCAUUGCAGAAAUGGUGAGACUAGUUGAACGCAUGACCAUAGUUUUGCCUCCGAAAGACUGUUGAGUGUUGAACGUAUUUCUAGUUAGUUCGACAAGAUUUCCUUUUCCUCGCGCUGCCCUGUCAAAUCUUAGUACAAUUAUGAAGCUAAUAAUUAAGGAGCAUCAAACAGAAUAUCGACAUUUAGUAUCCCGUCUCCUCAGGAGACCAAAGGAGCUAGAUGACAUAUUGACAUGUAAGAUCUCGUUAUAAUAAUUAAAGGCAACAACAUACUACUCCCUCUGUUCCAGUUUAUAAUGGAGUCAAAUAUAUUGAAGGUCUUAGAACUUGCACGCUGCGAUUAGGUUGGUACAUAAACUUACAAAAUACGUGAUAUUAGCUAUCAAACUUGCGAGGAUGUGCAAAUACGGUCAUAAUUUUCGUACACAGACAUAUUCUCUACUUCUAUGGCAUGCCAGUAUGGCUAGGCCCACUGUUAGUGUCUGGUGGCGAUUGAGGCGAGGUGCAUGUGAGGUCUUUCGUUGAGACACCCUCAUUUUUUUUAAUUUGUGCAAAAGACCUUCCAAUAGCUGUAACGUAAACAUGGUCUCCCGCUGAGACCAACCCGUCGGUGUACUACGUAAAUGAAAUUUGGCUGGCAAAAAAAACACCAUGGGAUGUCCACCCCACCUAAGGCUUGCUGUUUUUUUUUAGAACGAAGGCUCAAGGAGAGCCCGGCUUUGAAUUAACAAAGCCAUCAACCGGCCAGGAUUACAAGAUCACCAACUUACAAGGAAAGCAAGACGAGAAACAAGCGGCUGAUACAGGGAGCAAAGCGAAACAGACUCAAAGACAACAGCGAUAGCAAGAGCACGCCAUGCUGCCGCCAACACCCUGCAUGACGGCCUACACCAACCGGACAGGCUACGGACUUGAGAGGAUGCACCACCGUGCAAGCUUCGUGAUCGUAGCCAAACUCGAAGACAACACUGACACUCCUCUGAAACUGCCACUGCAAAGGGCCCCUGCCCUCUCAUCCUGGCUCGAAGGAUGCCGCACCGGCAGGCGGCAGCUCGGUUCACCCUUGAACCCAAGGGAAGACGUCCAAGCUGCGCAUGAAGAAAGAACUAGGAGCAGACCUGCUAGCACAGAUCACACCCUUCCGAGCACCGUCGUCGUCCGCGGAUAAGCCACACCGAAGGGCAAAAGCUGUCGGCCACAGUCGCAGCAACAAGGGCAACAAUGAUGAGCCACCGAAGAAGAGGCAUUGAAGCGCCGAGCCAAGCUGCCACCCGCCACCAUCACGCCCACAACCCGACUCUCUCGCCGCCCGUGCGAUCCCCGGACUGCGCCUCCAAGAAGGAACACGACACGGAUGUGUCGUCGCCGCCCGAAUCAGGGGACCUAGGCUUUCACCUAGCAGGGAGCGGAAGGAGGGGGAGAAGGAUCCUCACCACAGCCUCCAGGGAGGGGUACAGCGCCCAGGGCGUCGCCUGCGAUGUGGCUGCGCCGGCCAAGGGUUUCCCCCGGAACCAACCCCACUCGACAAGAUCCGCGCCGCCGACGCCCGGGAGGACCCGGAUCCGGCGAUGGAAGGAGCAGAUCGGGGCGGAGAGGGUGAGAUGCAUCUGGCGACGGCCACCACGCAGGGGAGGCCGCACACCAGCGACCGUGGACCGGUGCCUCCUCGUCCCCCGUGAGACCGAGGGCGGCGCCUCACCAGCUCCGGCCGGAGUGUCCCGCUGCCCGGGCCACCCGACGCUCUCCGCCCGGGGCCGCCGCCCCGGAUGCCGAACCCUUCACGCGAGGUGGAGCCGCCAGAUCCCCCGCCACCACCUUCAUUGGUGUCGAGCGCACGCCGGCGCACACCUCUGGCAGCGGCGGAGGGGAAGGGGAGGGGGGAAGCAGGGGUGCGGCGGCGGCGAUUUAGGGUUUCCCCCGAGUCGCCUCGUUGGAGACGACGCGGGGGCGGGGGCGUCCCUCCUACCGUCAGAUCGAUGAGACCUGGCUUGCUGUUUCCGAUAGUAUACUAUUUAAGAUACAUAUCCCUUGCAAUAAAAGUACAGAUUAAGUAAAAACACGUGUAACGCCUGAGAUGAACAGCUUGUUAACAGCUUCAUACACCCGAGAAGAGGUCAAAAAAGCACUAUUUCAAAUUGGAGACAUGAAGGCACCUGGGCCGGAUGGGUUACAUGUAGUCUUUUACAAGAGAUUUUGACACAUUUUGGGGGAGGAGCUCACUAAUGAGGUCCUCAAAGCAAUACAGAUGAGGAAGGUACCAGCAGGAUGGAAUCACACAAAUAUUGUAUUAAUACCAAAGGUAGAUAGCCCAGAGGCAAUUACACAGUUCAGGCCAAUCAGUUUAUGCAAUGUGGUAUAUAAAAUUAUAUCCAAAAUGCAUGCAAACAGGUUAAAGAAAGUACUUCCUGAGAUCAUAUCCCCCACACAGAGUGCGUUUGUGCCUGGUAGACUUAUAACAGAUAAUGUGCUAACUGCGUAUGAAUGCUUUCAUGCAAUAAGGAAAAAAAACUCAUGGCUCUAAUGGGUACUGUGCUGUCAAACUAGACAUAAUGAAAGCAUACGAUCGUGUGGAGUGGAGUUUCCUGGAGCAAAUGAUGAUAAAACUCGGCUUUGAUCCAGGUUGGAUUGAGAUGAUAAUGGAGUGUGUUUCCUCAGUAAGUUAUACAAUAAGGUUUAAUGGUGCAGAAAUGGAUGAGAUAAUACCCACUAGAGGUUUAAGGCAAGGCGACCCCUUGUCCCCUUAUUUAUUUCUGCUUUGUUCUGAAGGAUUAUCGAGCAUGUUGGCCCACGAGGAAGAGGUGGGUGGCCUGGAAGGUAUUAAAGUUUGUCGCAAUGCACCAUCCAUCUCCCACCUUCUUUUCGCAGAUGAUUCUCUAUUUCUUAUGAAGGCAAAUGUGCAGAAUGCAAACGCUUUGAAGAGGGUUUUAGAUGUAAAUUGUGCAAGCUCUGGACAGCUUGUUAGUACGGCAAAAUCAAGUGUUUUUUUUCAGCCCCAAUACAAAUGUUGCCGUGAGGGAAGAGGUUUGCAGGAACCUUGACAUAUUAAUAGAAGCUCUAUCUGACAAAUACCUUGGUCUUCCUACAGUUGUAGGUGUGGACAGAAGUGAUUGCUUUCAGCAUUUGAUUGACCGAAUUUGUCAGAGAAUUAAAGGGUGGAAGGAAAAAGUACUUUCAGUCCAAGGAAAGGAAAUCUUGUUGAAAGCAGUGGCCCAAUCAAUACCCUCAUAUGCUAUGUCAGUGUUUAAAUUGCCAAAGGGAAUCUGUAAACUAUAACAGAUGAAAUGGCAAGAUUUUGGUGGGGGACAGUGAGGAGAAGAAACGGAUGCACUGGUUUGCAUGAUGAAAAUUGUGCAUGCCAAAGAGGAAAGGAGGACUGGGGUUUAGAGACCUUCACAGUUUUAAUCUUGCUUUACUAGCAAAACAGUGUUGGUGUCUGCUCCAGAAUCCAGAAUCUUUGUGUGCUCGAGUUCUCAGUGCUAAAUACUAUUCAGAUGGGAAUAUAUUGAAUGCAGGGCCGAAGAAGGGAUCCUCCUUUACUUGGCAGAGUAUUGUUGCUGGGAUUCAAACGUUCAAACGAGGAUGUAUUUGGAGAGUGGGUACGGGAUCACAUAUAAACAUUUGGAAAGAUCCUUGGGUACCAUCAAGUGAGUCCCGAAAAGUCGUAACACCGCGAGGAUCCACUAUGUUGACAACAGUGGAAGAAAUAAUUGAUCCACAUACAGGACGGUGGGAUGAGGUUUUGAUUCGUGAUGUCUUCUGGCCGGUUGAUGUGUACAGAAUCCUACAAAUCCCACUCAGAGUGCGUAUCAUGGAUGACUUUGUUUCAUGGCAUUAUAACCGGACCGAAAACUUCUCAGUAAGGUCGGCUUAUCACACAGAAUUUAAACACCAAUUUAGGCGACAGAUGGAUCUGUCUUGUCCACAAGGGAGCCGAGAACAUGGAAGCAUGUUUGGGCUCUUCGAGUGCCUGGGAAGGUCAAGCACUUUGUGUGGAAAGUUAUCCGAAGAGUUCUACCUUGUUUUGGAACUCUUGCAGGGCGACAUAUACCAGUAUCCGGGCAGUGUACGGUCUGCCGGGUUGGCUAUGAAGACACGCAACACUGUCUUUUCCAAUGUGCUCGAGCCUUGGAGAUUUGGGAGAAACUUGGUUUAAAAACUGAGAUUCAAAAUGCAGCUCUACAGGACAGAUCGGGCUCCUUCACGACGAGCACUCUAAUGUAUAAAUCCGAAAACACAGAGGGCUUACCGAUGGCAGAAGUAAUGGCAGUGGCUAGCUGGUACAUAUGGUGACAAAGGAGACAGAUAGUAAAGGAGAUACAUAUCCCACGAUCGGAUCGGACAGCUGUUUCAAUCCGAGUCCUUGCCACGAAUUUUUACCAUUCACUUGCGGUGAAUCAGCCUAUAAGAAAACGUGAUCACAUGUGGCAUAAACCGGGAAGGGGAGUAGUGAAGAUAAAUGUGGAUGCGUCCUUUUGCUAUGAGAAUAUGAACGGAGGUACGAGAGCUAUUGCGCAGGAUGGUUGUGGUGAAUUCAUUGCUGCAGCUAGCUGGUUUAUACCGCAUGUGACAACAGCAGAGUCUGCGGAGAUGAUGGCCAUUCGUAAUGGUUUUUACCUUGCUUCUAAGAUCGGUUGCAAUGCUUUCCAGAUAGAAUCCGAUUGCUCUAAUGCGGUCCAAGCGUUUAAUAUGGAAGAGUACUCGGGACAGGACUCAGCUACUGUAUUUGAAGGAAAAGAGUUGGGACUGGACGUUGCUCAUUACGAAAUAAUUGCUUGCCCACGUGAAGCAAAUGAUGUAGCUGAUUAUAUAGCUAAAUGCUCCCUCUCUAGUAGACUCUCGGAGUUUUGGGAUCGCUCAAUCCCGGACUUUAUUUCUCAACUUGUUGUAAACGAUCUCGCUAUCAUUUAAGAAAUAAAGUUUUUUUACGUCAAAAAAAAGUACAAAUUAAAGAUGGGUUUUUAUAAGCGAAUAAAAGGAGAGCCGGGUAGAGCAGGGCUAACCAACUGAGAAGACGAUAGUUGAUGCCUUAGAUGAGACAAAAUUUCCUUUUAAACGAGGGUGGGCGAAAAAAAAUCAAUUUGCUCAAAAAAAUAUGUUACAUUUAUUUUGGACUAUAUCUUUUAUCCAGAUUUUAAAAUUUAAAAUUAUUCGAGUUCAAACAAAAUUUAUGUUGAUUUUUUCCAAAAGAAAUCUACGUACAUUCAUUAUGAACCAUAUUUUCCUUUAUCUAGAUUACUAAAUUAAAAAUUAUUCUAAUUCAGACAAAAUUUCAUUGAGUUUUCCAAAAAAUUACAUACAUUGGUUUUGACCUAUAUUUUCUUUUAUCUAAAUUUUAAAAAUUAAAAGUAUUCAAAUUCAACCAAAUGUUUAGUUGAUUUGCUGAAAGAAUGUAUGUAUAUUCGUUCUGCGCUAUAUAUUCUUUUAGCUAGUUAUUAAAUUUACAUUUAUUCAAAUUCAAACAAAAUAUUCGUUGAUUUGUCCGAAAAAUAUACGUACAUUCAUUAUGCACUAUAUUUCCUUUUAUCACAUUUCUAAACUUAAAAUUAUUUGAAUUUAAACAAAAAAUGCAUUGAUUUGUCCAAAAGAGUUUACACACAUUCAUUCUGCACUAUACAUUUUUUAUCUUGAUUUUUAAAUUUAAAAUUAUUCAAUUCAAACAAAAAUUUAGUUGAGUUGUAUGAAAAUUUACGCACGUUCAUUAUGCACUAUAUUUCCUUUUAUCACAUCUUAAAAUUUAAAAUUAUUUGAAUUCAAAUAAAGUGUCGUUCAUUUGUCCAAAAAGACUUUACGUGCAUUUAUUCUGCACUAUAUUCUCUUUUAUAUAGAUUUUUUAAUUUAAAAUUAUUUGAAUUCAAACAAAAAAAUUGUUCAUUUGUCCGGAGGAAUUGACGAUUUUUUUACUAUUUCAAGUGUGAUUGAAAUUUUUGCAAUAUCAAAAUUCAAAACCUUUCGUGCUAGUCUAAUACGUUUAAUUUGAUCAGUUUGGAUGUCCAACUCGGUUUGCUCGUUAGCCCAAGUCGGUGCAUAUAACUCACCCGCUGUUGUUGUUCGGCUGAUAUAGGCCUUGUUUGGUUCAUAAGUUCUAGGACUUUUUUUAGUCCCAACUUAUAAGUCCCAAGUCCCUAAAAAGUCCCUACAUGUUUGGUUCCUGGGACUUAUAAGUCCCUACAAGACCAUAUUACAACUAUAAGUCCCUCCUUGAGAGUCUUAUUUCAUAAGUCCCAAAUGCCCACUUUAAAUCCCUAUAAAUCCCUCCUGUUUGGUUUAGAUGGGACUUAUAGGGAUUUUUUUAAAUCCCUAAGCCAAUAAGCCCCUGGAAACAAACACCCUCAUAAUUAGGCAUACCCCUCCGUAGCUAGCAGAAACGGAUGGUUGGCCGGUUGGUUUACAAAAAUCAGAAUUUAGCAGAUGUUGCUGGUUUGAAUCCUCACAAUUUUUGUUAUUUUAAUUGUCAAUUUUUUCUCAGAUUUUAUCUGCACAAAAAAAAAAACAAUAGUCCAAAUUCAUUUACACUGUUCGUUGAUUAGCUGGGACCCAUCAGUCUGUGACCAUAGUUCACCAGCUUUUAUGCAUAAUUAAAUAAAAGUUGAGGGUGUUUUGUGUAAAAAAGAUCAUGCAUGUCUCACCCAAUGCCUCCCCGCUCUCAGCCAUUGACAUGUGGGCCCCGGCCAAGCUGCCCUGCCACGCAUGCAGCGGAUACACCCGCAUACAGGAAUUGUGACCGUAUUUGCACACCGUUGCAAGUUUGAUGAUUGAAAUCGUGUAUUUUACAAAUUUAUGCAUCAAACUGACCGUCACGCGCAAGUUCCAGGAUUUCUGGUGUAUUUACCUCUUUAUAAUGCGCAUAGUUUUCAGCUCUUAUACCAAUGCAUGCGCUGGAGAUGUUGUUUGUACAAGACUAACCCUACAUGCGUUCUGACCCAUCCGGUGUGCACCCGUUGCUGCGCUUCCUGUGAUUUCUGUCAAGGGUGAAUUCGUCCAGGCGAGGCUUAGGCUACAUUCCAGAAAUAUCACGUUGGCCACUGCAAGUUUCUCAAAAGUUGGAUCGUAUAAUCGAUUGUACUAGUUCAAUUGCGUGCAGCGCCUUACCUUUGGUCCAAGCAUGCAGGUUUUCGCUGAGAGUUCUUUUGUCCUUGUUCACGCGGAACGGGCCCACCUCCAUCAUCGCUCCGUAGCCAAGCGAUGAGCAUCCAGGACCUGCGAGUGCACCAUGUACGUGUUGAUACUAUCUAUCAUCAGAGCACUCAAAGUUUCAGCAAUUGAACUGAAAGCUUUUCGAUCGUAACAAGGUAACCUCCAUUGAGCCACAAGAGGAGUGGCUUCGCCGCCGCAUCAAUGGCUGCCUCGACGAAGUAGUAGAAGAGCGCCCGGCCAUCCUUCUUGUCGACAGUCACGUACCCACCGUACUGAUUUAAGCCGAUGGUGCCGCUAGGCUGCCCUGGCAGCACAUGGAUCUUGUCGGCAGCCUUCAAAUUGGCCAUGUCAUGGGCAGAGUACUCUCUGAGGCUACUGGUAGUGUUAGUGAUUCCUACCCUUGGUUCAUCUAUGAUGUUGGCAUUGCUAUUGUUCCAUCUAGACCGGAUGAACUUUCUGAGCUGAGCCUCUUGCGAUGCAUCUGCGUGCAACGCGGCCACGCAGAUGAGGAGUAGACCGAAGGUGGUGUUCCUCAUCGUCUGCUAUGGUAAAAUGAGCAAACUCUGUAGCUAAGAUGACAAAGAUGGAUUCGUGGUUGGGGUUCCUAUAUAGAGAAAUUUUAACAUGGUCCCAAACGAUUUGUUUAAGUAAUCCAUGCACAUUUAAUGUGUUUUAAUGCGCUAGAAUCUUUUUAAGUAUGCCAUAUCUUCCUAUCCCUAGAAUUCAUUGAUGACAAUAUUGUGAUCCUUGAGUAGUAUACGAUUUGUGUAGGGAAGACAAUAAUGUGUAUUACUAUUUCCCUUUUUAUGCUAUGAUGUAUUCCCUCCGUCCGGAAAUACUUGUCCUUAAAAUAGUUGUAUCUAGACUUAUUUUAUUUAUAGAUACAUCCAUUUUAUCCAUUUCGAGGACAAGUAUUUCCGAACGGAGGGAGUAUUAACUAGAGGAUCCGAUAAGAUCUUUUUGCGCAAUUAAACACGGGCGUGGCUUGCCUGCUUCCGCGCCUUGCUCCCGUCGGUGCUCUCCGGACACGUGGCAUACAUCCAAAGCAUCAUACCAUUUUCUUCUGUUCAAAACAAUUCCGCAAAUAAGACGAUUAAUACGAACCAAUACGUGACCCAGCGGCUCUUGCCGGCGCUCCUUGACCGGUCACCGCCGAUGUCCAUGCCGCCGCAGGCGGGAGCCAGGACCAUACAAGGGUACUGGCACGCUUCCUUGAAUGUGGACUUCGCUUUCCGCAUUGUGGUCCUGAUGCACCUUGGAGCGACCGUUGCAAGUCCACCAACCAAUGGACCGACAUGACCUCAUCGCUAACCCAAGCCCCGGAUAUAAGAGGCAACAAGUUGGAGCCAAAGGUGGACACCGGGCAGGCACAGAAAACAUGCAAACCAUCGACCGACCAAAGAA
rnacentral:lncRNA from 1 species